GCAAUUAGAAACCUUUACUCCUAAGAACCAAUUGAAAAGGAAAGCAACAUGUUCAACCCUUUGGUUACAUGUGCUAUACUAGUGACCUUGACAACAUAUAUGGUCAUGGUCCCUGUCCAAUGUGAACAAAAUACUUUCCCUCAAACCACAACUGUGUCUGUUACAAAUGAUUUGGGUAAUGGCAUUAUUCUCUUUCUCCAUUGUAAAUCAAGGGAUGAUGAUCUUGGUGUCCAUUCUGUAGCCAAUGGACAAGCACAAACAUGGUCUUUUAGAUUAAAUAUUAUUGGUAGUACUCUAUUCUUUUGCAGGAUUAAUUGGAACAAUGUGGAAAAGAGCGUUGAAAUAUAUAAUGCUGCACAAGAUGAUGCACAAUGCUUAUCACAGUGCCGGCGAAGUAUUAGACAGGAUGGAAUCUACUAUUAUUGGCAGUUCAAAGAUUAUUGGUAUAAGAAAUAUUCAUGGUAAAAUGCCAGACUAAUUGGCUUCAUCAGCAUGUGAAAGAUAAAUAAAUUAAUAAUAAGAUGUAGUAGUAUUUUAUAUAUGAAUAAGAUUAUCCUUUGUUUCAUCACAUAUCGUUUUUUAUUUUGCCAUUUCCUUUGUUUACGUUCACCAUUUAUUAUAAUUAUUUUAUGUUUGUCCAAAGAGUAAUGUUAUAUUUUCAUAUUAAAUUUUCGUACUAAUCUUCAUAUUUAUAAGAAAGUGACAUAUGUCACAUAUAAAAUAAUCACUAAUAAAUAAAGUCACAUAUGAAUCAAUUAGUUCUUUGAAAGGUGCGAUUGAGAUCACAUAUCUUAAUAUUUGAUAUCAAAUUGUAUACCAGUCAUACUAAAAAGUGCCAACUAAUUAAAAAAUAAUCAUAAAAAUAGAAAAUAAUUUUUUUUGUUACUUAUCAUAUGUGAUCGCCUUGAAACAUGUAGACGGAUUUUUUUUAGAUAUAUGAUCAUUGUUCACGCUUCAUAAUCAAUUAUUUUAUUUAGGCGCAUGCUUAUUUUUUCAAUAAAUUUCUCGUCCUAGAUAAUAAAUUCCACACCUUUAUUUUACAAAUAUGAUUCUAUAAACAAUGUGAGAAAAGAGAAGUGUGGGUUUUCCUCCGUUUUUCUCUGCAUUCCUCCCAAAAUGUGUAAAAGAAAAGGAAGCACAUAAAUAAAUUAUUCUUUGAAGCCCGAAAGUUUUAUUCACUGCAAUAUGAUAUUUAGGUCUUAAGCUUCCAUUUAAAUGUGUCAAAUAUUUACCAUUAAAAAAAUUAUCCUAUUUAAUUAAUUUAAGAAAAUCAAAUUUAAUAAUAUUAGACAUGUGACACCUAUCCUUUAAGAGUUUUAUGUGAGUAUUGGUAAAUUUGAGAUAAAUAUGAGGAUUCAUCACCAUUAAGAUAAAAGUAUCAUGUUUAAUCCAUCUAAAAUGUUAAUUCGAUCAAAUUUGAAAUCAUAGCUAUUAACUUACAUGUUGGGAUUUAGAGUAAUUUCUUCUAGUAAGGAUGAGUCUUUUAGACCAAGCUGAAUUAUGCUCAUAAUAAAUGAUAUAAUUUUUUGGAUAUGUUUUUGAGUUAAAUUUUAGAAGGAAAUGAAUGUUAAAUGAAAGUUUUAUAGUCUUCUUACAAAUAUUUUCAUGACUCCCAAGUAUUCUUAUUAUUUUUCUUCCAUUUCAAAAUUCAACUUGCAAACCUUUUAUUUUAAAUCACGUGACAGCGGACCAACCUCACUUGUUAUGUUAAAUCUUACUAAUGCCCUUGUUAUUGCAUGUUAUAUAUUUUGAGUCAAAUCUUCACAUGUUGUAUUUAUCUAAUCUAUUAUCCGGCAUGACUUUCUUCUUUUGUCAUUGCGCCUAUCAGUUUAUUCUCAAUUUUUAAUUUUCCUUUGGUUUGAUUCUCCUAGGAGAGGGUGAGUCUCGAUGCAAUUGUAAGGUUGAUUCCUUGUGAACUGGAGAUUAUGAAUUUCAAAUUUUCAUUAUUAUUGUUGUUUUUGCUUCAUUACUAUUGCAACGGGAUAACACAUAAGACAUGAUCAACAAAUCUCUAUUCUUAUUUAUAUGCAUCAAUCCACAAGGUAGUCAUGCAUUGUGUUUUAAUUCUUUUAUUGCUAUGUAUGCGUGCUUUGCAAGGCUAUUCCUAUGAGCAAGUUACAAUUUUUUUUACUGACUGAAGUGUCUCUUUACAGAUGGGAAAUCCUUGGGAAAUUUUGAGAAAUGAUAUCUCUUAUCCAGUUAUGUGCUACGGAGAAAUUAUUUUAGGGCCAAAUGGAACUAAACAGUGGAUUGGAGGAGAAAAUAUAUCAGUUGUUGCUUAUGAUGUUCUAAUACCUGGAUACAAAACUUUUAAACAUCAAUACAUUAUUGAAUUCAAUUUUUGAAACAAAUUUCUUAAAUGAGUCUAGAAUUUUAAUUUCAACUCCAAAACUAAUUUUAGAAAGUCUAAAAAUUAUGUUUAUUUUUAAAGUAUAAUUAGACCAAACUUUUUGAGGAAUAUAAUUUUUGGAAGUCAAUUUUCGAAUGAACUCUAUAGUUAUUCUAAACAUUUUAAAAAUUUAUCUUAUACUAAUUUUAUUAGUUUUCACUAAAUAAUUAUGAAAAGCCAUUAAAAUUAACAUAUCAUGGUAUAUCUAAUUAAUUUUCCAAUUGAUCGAUCUUACCACAUUUACAUGUCAAUCCUUUUCUUGGAAAGAAAAGAGUGUCAAAGUUUUCAACUUUCCAACGGCAAACUAGAAAGAAAUCAACCUUUUAUUAUGAUUAUGAAUUAUACUAAAGUUUUAAUAAAUAAUUCUCCAUAAUUAUCACAAGGAGGAUAUUAUUAUUAUUUAAUCUUAAGUUAUUAACUUUAACAGAUUUUGUACACUUUUUACUAAUAUGAUGUCAUUUUAAAAAAAAAUGCUUUUAAUUGUUCUAACUAUCAUUUUAGGACAUUCAGUUAUAUUAUUUUAUAUUAUUUCAAAUGUAAGUGAUUCGUCAAGUUUUCACCAUUAUAUAUACUAGCGUGUUGAUAUAUGCUCUUGUGUCUGUCAACCUGCUUUCCUAUUGCAUAUAAUGUAUAAUUUAUAUGCUAUAAAUAUCAAAUAUAAUAAUUUAUGUUAGAUAUUAUAAUUUGGUGUUGAACAUGUUUGAUUGAGGUAAUUAUUCAAUUCUAUUAUUUAAAAAUUGAACAUUCAAAUAAUUGAAUCACUUAUAUUUAUCUUUAUAUGUCAUUUUCCUUUAUGAAAUUAUACAUUCACCUUAGAUAUAUAUAUAUAUAUAUAUAUAUAUAUAUAUAUAUAUAUAUAUAUAUAUAUAUAUAUAUAUAUAUAUAUAUAAAUAGUGGAAUUAUAUAUUUAUAUUUGUAUCUGAUUGGUUAUACCGGAUAUAUGGUUUAUUGAAUGUGUUUAAUAGAAAUUGAUUAAAUAUCUCUAUUAAGCAAUGAUCUUAUUGAAUCUGUUUUAUAAUUUAGUAUAGAAUUAUAUGUUUUUUACGGUCCUAAUCAAUUAAGUAUUGUAUAGAUAAAUUAAAAUAUAUCAAUUAAAAAUAAACAUAAAAACAAAUUAAAAUUUUAAAUCUCAUUUCACUUAGAAAAGUUAUUAUAUGAAACAAAAUUAGUUGAUCUAACUGAUUAUCAUUCAUUGAUCAUGCAUUAAUGAGAUAUUUAAUCAAUUUCCUCUUUACCCCAUAUCAAUGGUACAUAUAAAAAGGAAGGGUUGGUAGUGAUAUUAUUAUUAUUUAAUCUUAAGUUAUUAACUUUAACAGAUUUUGUACACUUUUUACUAAUAUGAUGUCAUUUUAAAAAAAAAUGCUUUUAAUUGUUCUAACUAUCAUUUUAGGACAUUCAGUUAUAUUAUUUUAUAUUAUUUCAAAUGUAAGUGAUUCGUCAAGUUUUCACCAUUAUAUAUACUAGCGUGUUGAUAUAUGCUCUUGUGUCUGUCAACCUGCUUUCCUAUUGCAUAUAAUGUAUAAUUUAUAUGCUAUAAAUAUCAAAUAUAAUAAUUUAUAUCAUUCAUUGAUCAUGCAUUAAUGAGAUAUUUAAUCAAUUUCCUCUUUACCCCAUAUCAAUGGUACAUAUAAAAAGGAAGGGUUGGUAGUCUAUAAUAGUAACUCAUAGUCUUUUAGUUUUCCAACCAUAUAUAUAAUAAUUAACAAUCAUGCACAAUUUAAAUUUCAUUGAAACAUAAAAUAGUAAUUAAAACAUGAGAUUUAAAAGGAGCUCAUAUUAUUUCUCUUACAAAUAAUGGUUGUUUCCGUACCAACAAAUAUAUACAUAGUUUGACUUUAUAACUUACUAUAUAGAAUUAUAUAUGCUUCAUGAUAGUAGUUAUCUUUCAAUUGAUUAUGUAUAUUUUUUAAAUCCAUCAAAUAUAGUAAAACAUAUGAAUGAAUAAAUUGAGUAAAUUGGGAUGGUUUGAUAUGGAAACAACCAUCUAUAAAAACAAUAUUGAGUAAAUUGUAAGAGAUUAGUAUACUUUUAUCACAUUUUUCAUAACAUGAUCUUUUGGUGAUAACUCAUAUUUCAAAUAAGUUAUGUACCCAAAAAAUAUUCCAAAUAAGUUAAAUUACCAAUUAUUUUUCCAAAUCAUAUAUGUUAUUUGGUUACCACAUACAAAUAUGAUCAUCUUUACUUUGCAUAGAAGACGCAAAGAUAAAUAGCAAGCAUGCAAGAGUUAUAUUAAAAACUAAAAUAAUAAAUAUCAUUCGAUAAGAUGAAAUUAUAAAAUUUACCACUCUUAAAUGUAGAUAAAUUAAUUAGCAAUUAAGUUAUUAAAGAUUGCAAAGUUCUAAUUAGCAUCAAUGUGUGUUAGUAAAGAUUCCAUUGGAACCAAUUAUAAAGAAGUCAGUUGACUCACCGGACUUGUGAACUUUUGAAGUGGCCCCCAACAACAACAAAACCAAUUAAAUAUUUUCUUUGUUAUACCACCAAUUACAACACCAAAAUGGAAUACCAAUGCAUCAUCCGUGUUGAUUGAAACAUCCUUCUCUUUUGAUUCAAGGAGUAUUAUUCCAACAACUCCACUUCCUGGAUGAACAACACAUUUUAAUAAUUAACCAAUGUAACAACAUAACUUCAUUAACAUAAAGUACAGAAUGAAAGAGAAUGGUGAAUAUUUAUUUAUUGUAUUCACUCAUGUAAUAUAUUGUAUUACCAUGAAAUGUAGUUAUUGUUAAGUUUCUUUUUUGAAAAAAAAAGAAAUACCUGAAAAUUAGAAGAGGAAGAUAAUGGAGAAUAAAAAUGGGAAAUGAUAGUAGUGGAUAAUAUUAUAUUUUUGCAGCGCCUUUGGUGCAUUGCUUUGUCUUUUUAGAAAAUACCAUCCUAAAUUAAUGUAGUGGAAAGAACAAUAACUAAAGAUGUGUUAUACUUUCAAAAUAUAUAAUUUAGGCAACAAUUUUUUUGAAUGGGGUAGUUUUUGAAAGAGUAACUAACGUGUAGUUUUUUUUAAGUUAAUUCAAAUGAGAGGUUUUAAAUGGUUCUAAAAAAAUAUAGUUAAAAAGUAAUAAAAAUGAUAAUUUUUGAAAACUAAGUAAUAAUGUUUUUUUUGUUUCCCACAGGUAUCCUUGCACUGGAGGCAAUCCUGUCCAAGCCGGGAACAUCCACAAGUAAGUGGGGCUAACUCUCCCAACGAGCAUUUUUUCCAUCCACAAGACUCAAACCCGAGUUCUGUGGAUGAAAAAAAUGAUCGUUAGGAGAGUUAGCUCCACUUACAUGUGGAUGUGAAUGAAGGGAACAUUGUUUAUAUAGUUUAUUGGUAGAAAAUAGAAAAUAGUGAGGGUAAAAUAGAGAACUAUAAAUUACACCAUGAAUAGUUAGAUAUUAUGUUUUUGCUUUAUAAGUAGUAUAGAUAUAUAUAAAUGUUUCACAAAAAUUUGUAAGUAUACAAUUUGAGUAAAUAUAAGAAUAUGUAAUAUUUAGUCAAAUUUAUUUAAAAGAGACAUAAUGCAUUAUACUAAAUCAACAACUCGAUCCAGGUAGGUUGAGUUCAUAACUUGAUCAUGCUCUUGAGCAAGCAAUCUUUGAUGAUGACGAAGCCCUCGAUCAAUAAAAAUGAGGAUGAUCACGAUAUAGUAAGCACAUCAGAGAUUAAAAUAUAUCAUGAAGUUUCAGCUGUUUCCAAAGUCAGAGAUUAAAGUUAGUCUCAAAGCUCCUCCUUCACGGAGACAACAAAAUGGUGGUGGAAACAAUAUUGAACAACCUACUUUGGAUCAAAUCUCCUAUGCUUUAGUUGAUCUAGUUAUACUUCUAGGUGUAAGUGGUUGCAUGGGAGGUACUAAGCUUGUACUAUCAGGAGCAUAUCUUCUGUCCCAAUAUGUAUAUAAUUUCGUGUUUUAUUUCAUUCUUAUUGGUCAAAAAUGUAAAAUUAAUAUAUAUUUAAUUCAUUUUAUUAUUCUGACCAAUGAGAAACAAUGAGUGAAUGAAGUAAUACAAAGUUUGAAACAUAAAAAGUAACCCCUUCACUAUUAGAGCAGGCUAUGGACUUUGACAUAGAGAACUUAAGAUUAUAUUUCCAAAUCAAAAAUAGAAGCUUACAAUUCUCUCUCAUUCUUAGGAUGAAUCAUAUAUCAGAUUUCUUAUUUCUCUACCAGUAUUAUUUUCUAUUUCAAGUGGCACUUGUUAAGUUUCUAUUAUUUUUCAUUUCUUUAACUAUUAAAAUAUUCCACUCAUUUAAUAUUAUUUAUUAAUUGCUUGCCUUGAUAAUAAAAAAAUAGAGUAGUGAAAAUAUUAAUAGGGGAAAAUGAUAAAAGUUUCAAAAAAAAUUAUUAAAUAUUUUUUAAAAAGAAUUAUCAUUUAAAAAAAUACUAUCUUAUUAAAAAAUAUUUUUAAAGUUGUAUAAAAAUUAAAGCAUACGAUAACCAAAAAUAAAUUAAAGCAUAUGAGGCGUUGGGCCAGGGCCCAUGUUUCGCAUGACCGUUACACACAAAACUCUAUAUAUUGUUGUUGUACGUUGAAACACAUACAUGAUACAUUGUUGUUGUUGGAGAGAGUGAGAGACAGAGAGAGUGAGAGACAGAGACAGAGAGAGUUGAGAAUUUGUGGCAUUUCAUCUCUCUCAAUUUUAUCUCUUCCUUCAGCAACAGAGGCAAUUCAAUUUCUUCGUUUCUUACUCUAUUUUUCUAUUUCUUCCAUUUCCUCGUUUUUUGUUUGAACAUUUCAAUUCUUUUUACUAUUUGAUUUCACCAAAGUGUCAAGCAAAUCAAAACCCUAAAAUCUUGAAACAAUUAUUCAAGAAUGUUUAUUCUUGGUGGAUUAAGAGUGUGAGUAAGCACUCUUGGUGGAACAGAGAGAGAUAAUACAUUUUUCUUCUGGCUUGACAAUUCAACAAUGUUUAUUCUUCGAAGACCAAGAAUUUAGCCGAUGAUGAUUCUUUAUAUUUCCUAGACACGUUAAUAUUGCGAGAGAAAGUUUGCACAAGAUUGAGGACCUCAAAUAUAAAUAAGUAUCCAUCAAAGUUUCACUCUCUGUUGUGCUUUUCUUGCUUUUUUGACCUUAAAUUAUAUGGUUGAAAUUUGAAUUCAUAUAGAAUGUGUAACUUGUAAGUGCUACAUGUUUCUGAGUUCCCUUUCUUUCUAGAUUUUCAAUCUUAUUGGAUAGAGCUAACAUUCUCAGUUAUUCAAGAAUUUCAUUCUUGGUGGAUUGAAAGAAAUGCUGAUAAUUGGAAAUGUGGCUGUGAGGUGUGCUCAUUCAAAGAAAUAUUUUCUUUGUAUAUUUUCUCAUGUUUUAACAUCAUCUGGAACUAAGUAACUUCUAUUAGAUGCAUGCUAGACUUUCUCAAAUAUCAGAUUCUGUGAACAGAAUUAUACAGAACAUGACCAGCAAUUUGAUUAGCAUAGUAUUAAUUUUGUUCAUCACUUACUUGACAUAUAUGUGGUUAUUGUUGUGUAUUUUCAGAUGUCAAUAAAUUUGUAUGAACAUUUCUUUCAGAAAUAACCUAACAUCAAGAGAGACCAUUUUGCUAUAUUAAAGUAAUUGAACCUAACUCCAUCUCAAAAGGCAAAAGCUACUAGCUGUUGGGGAAGACUGCUCCAAGGGCGGCAAAAUAAAUGAUUCUUUACUUAUAUACAUAACCAAUAGGAGACAUUAAUACUUAGCAUAAUGUCAGAUUUGAAGUCCCCCAUUGGUUCAAAUGAAGAAGAGUACAUAUAUGAGAAGACCAAUUGACUCAUUGUUUUGAAGUUUUGGUUCAUUAUGUGGUAAUGAAUUACAAAUAUGUAGUUGUUUUAUUCUUUUUUUUUUGACGUGAACAUUUGUCUAAUAUAACAAACAAUGUCUAUGAAAAUUGAACAUUUAUGCAAAUUAGUUCUGGACUACCAAUUUAUGAGUCCUCGAAACUCUUUAGUGCUGCUAUUUCAAACUCUCUAUAGCUACUAGAGUUUUCAAUGCAUAUACAAUCCUUUAUAGUCAGAAGUCAAUACACUGUCUAUUCCUAUAACCUUGUUUGUGCCUGCUCAUGAAUUUUGACUUGGAAAAUCAUCUAAAUUUGUGCUUUGUUUCAUAACAUCUGGAAUAUUCUUUCCCAUUUGCAUAGACUAAAUAGUUUCAUUUCUAUUACUUGUAGUGAAGCUGAAUCUCAAAUUUGUUUUUGCAAAAGUUGCCCUGUAACUAAAACUUAUUUAAAUUCAUGUAAGUUGCUUUUAUUAUAAAUUGCAGAUUAUAUCGUAGAGCGGUGAAAACUAAUUGCUUGUUUUGUUACAGAAUUUAAGUUUAAACAUUGACACAACACAAAUAUUUUUGAUGUUUUUGCAUUUGUUGAUAUGUGAUUGUGGUUACUAACCAAUACGAAUAUGGUAGGAGUGCAAUAUUGUAUCCAUUUUAUGUUAAAUGGGUACACUGUGAGCACUGCCAUUAUAUGGUAAUUACUUUCCUUCCAUGUAGAUGCAGAUGAAGAUGUAAAAAUAAUCGCCUUCAGUUAAUAAUGCAUCAAAAUGUGGUUUGUUUGGCAUGGUUCCUCCAGUUAAUAAUGCAUCAAAAAGUGGGUUGUUUGGCAAGGUUUCCUCCUAAGUCCUAACUCUUAUAAAUGCAUGGUAUUACUUCAUUGAAUUUAUUACUUGUAAUUGGCUAGGUUUUUUCUUCUUGUACCAUGCAAAUUUCAGCAUUGGACUGUUGCUGCUUUGCUAAAGCACAAACUUGAUUGUGGUGAUUCUGUCAUGCUUGUGAAAUGUUAUUUGAAUUUCGAUUGCAAGAUAAUAUAGGUGUACAAAAUUUAGAAAAUGGUGCGGAAACUGAAAAAAGACUUUUUAUACCACACAUGAAACUAUUUUGUCUGUGGCUGUCCAAAAGCUUCUGAGUGGCACCAAAUGUGGAAUUGGCCUUAUGCAGAUAUUUCCAUAAAUAUCAGAGUGAAGCAACUUAUACUUUAAUCCCAUUUUAAUCCCUAUUGAGAUUAAUAUUUGGUUGUUGUUUGUAUAUAAAUCAUGCAGUCAAAAUUGAGAAUAAUUUUCAAAUUGUGAGUUGAUAAAGAUGUAAUGUGUUCAAUCUAAAGCAUUUUUUGCCUAUCUAAAAGUAAGUUUCUUUUUGCCUUCAUAGCAUCCUAUUCCUUGACCCUCCUGAUGAUAAAUGAAUGUAAAAAUUUGUGGAUCAAACUUCCAUUAUGCUUUCACAAUUUGCAGGCAAGGAGCAGAUGCAUCUGAGCCUGUUGCUCAGUCUGCCUAAUUUAAGCUGAUGCUAUCCAUUCAUGGAGGAAACUUUCAGUAAUUAAUGUGAGACUAAGGCUAAUAGGAAGAAGGUAAAAGUAAGCUGAUUUAUGAUGACUCAUUCUUUGUAUCGUGUUCUUCUGACCAUCUUGCUUGUACUAUUUGCUGGCACAUGCUCAUGUUAUUGGUAUAAAUAACUGUAUGACUCACAUUACCAGAAAUAUAUGUCCAAAGUUUUCUUUAAUCUGUCAAUAUUCCCAAUAUUUUGCAUUUGCAUGCUUGGAAUUAAUCAAGAAAUUAAUUGGAUUUUAAACAUUUCACAUUCCACAUUCAUUAGCUGAUUAAAGGAAAUUUUAUAAUGGAAUUAUCAAAUCUUAACUAGUCUUGGAUUGAAAAUCUUAGAAAGUACACUUUCAAUAGGAAGAGGUUUUUUAAAGAGCACUGAUACAAUCAUUAUUUUUCAUAUCAUCAGUUUUAAAUAGAAUGUGUUCUCUAGUUAUGGAAAGAUUCAUUGUGAUGUUGUGAUCAAAGUAGAAAUGUAUGAUCCAAAUACUAAUAACUACUGAAUUUGAAUAGUUUUUUGUAUGCCAUAAACACUCUUAGUGUGUAACAUAUAUUAGCUGCCAUUUUUUAUUUUCCAAAUACAGUUUUGUUACUUGAUUUUUGUCUCAGGUAGACUGGACACCAGAGCUGCACAAAAAUAUUGUGAAGGCAUUGGAACAACUUGGCAUCGAUCGAGAAUAUGUUAUCUGCUAUUCCUUCAAGAAUAUUGGAACUAAUGAAAGUAGAAGGCUUGACAAGGCAUAAUGUAGCAAGCCACCUUCAGGUCAUUAUGCACCUUGGUGAUUCUAGUUACUUUUAGUCCCAAAAAUGGAUGCUUAUCAUUAACUUGGUCCCUGUAUGUAAGAAAAAAAAUUCAAUUUAGUCCCUAUACAUACAUCAUUUUCAAUUUGCUCCUUGCUGUUUGUUGUUGUUAAAAUACAGUCUGUUGGAGUUAUGCUCACUUAUUAUUCCUAGUGGUUCAUCAAAUCAUUGUUCAUUGGUUCUUGACUUAUGUAGGGAUUUAAUAGUUAUUUUAAUAUUCCCCAUGAUUCAUUGGAACACUAUUGGCAAGUGACAAUAAUUUGGGAACAGUUUCAACAUUAUGGUAAAGUUGAGAUUUGGAUGCUUAAGUUCAAGGAUGCUCUGGAGGUGAUUAGUUUCUACUACCAUAACUGCUUGCAGAUCUUUGCUUUUAUAUUAUUGUUAGAAAUCUGUCUUGUUGGAAGAUGAUAGAUAUUAUUGUUAAAACUUAAAACCACACUCAAGUCACUGAGAUUUAUGUGAUUGAUCGCAGGGAUAUGAUGUCAAAACCACAAUAACCCAUUUUUGAGUAUCAAUCUUCAUCAGCAUUUUCCAUCUGCAUAAUAAAAAGAGUAUGCCAUGAUGUCAGACAUGUGAAUUUUCUGAAAAUUGGUUGUUUGUAUAACUUGUGGUUUAUGCCACGAGUAUGCCACGAUGUCACACAUGUGAAUUUUGUGAAAAUUGGUUGUUUGUAUAACCUUGAAUAUGAACAGUUAUUUCAGAAAGUUUCUUUUGUAAAGGGAUGUUCUUCAUGAUUUAAUAAGCAGAUUGUAAGUCAUUCUUUAUAUGUUUACAUUUAUCAUUCUUUAAAUGUUAAGUUUAAUGAGAUUUUAUAAUCUAUCAACCUUCAAUACUGAACUUUUCACUAAGCUAUUUUCAAUUGGAUCUACUUAACUAUCAUUCUAAUGCAUGUUUCCUUUUAUGAAAUUGCAAUACCAGCAGUGCAAUGACUACUGAGCCACUUCAAAUCUCAUAAUAUAUUUUUUCCUACCAGAAAUGUGUAUGUGAAAAUCUGCUGUAAUAGGCGACCAAAGUCCAUGAAUACUUUUUCCUCCCAGGAGAAUUGGUUAUGAAGCAAGGAGGUGUAGCUGGUAAGUUCUGUGGUAACCUAUUGGUUUGUUAACGUGUGUUAUUGCCGUUUUUUGCAGUUGAUUAAAUGUUAUUACUCUUAUAUUAAACUGAUGUAUGAGCAUCUUCAAUGUUACUUUCUAUUUAAGUGUAGGUCUAACUUCAUCAUAGAAGCUAGCUCAUACGGGUAGGUAGGUUGUCCAUCAAAAAUGUUCUCUACUCUUAUAUUAAACCAAUAUGUGAGUGUUUUGCCUAUUGAGUUCACUUCUUUGCAUCUUAUUUAUAGGAAACAAUUGACUCCUCUAGUGUCUACUAUUUGGACAUGGCAUACAAGUUUCUCUGUAGGAAACAAAUGACAUUGGGUUAAGAUUUAAGGCAACAAGUGAGAAAUAUGAUCACUGACCUAUAUAUAUGUUCUGAGUGAACUAUACCUCACUCAAAGCAUUUUUUCAUAGAAGAUGAAGAUUAUGUAAGAAAAUGCUAUGUUGAAAAAAAGAUAAGAAAACAUGAACCAGGAUUAUUUCACUUCUAACUGUGAUGCUUUUAUAUUUGAGGAAUAUGCAUACAUGUUCCUCUCUAGGUGCCAUCAAAACACUAUAUCCCAUAUCUAAACAUUUUUUUACUGUUUUUAUUGUUGUCUACAGCAGAGAUAAUGCAGGAAGAUGGUGAUACAGAGGAGAUAAUUACAUUGCGAACCUACAGUUUCUUUGGCGAGGUUUCCUUCCUUUGCAAUAUGCCUCAAACUUCAAUGGUUCGAGCUCAUGAGUUUUGCAAGGUUUUGCGUCUUGAUAAGCUAUUUUUUAUAGACAUACUGAAGCUAUAUUUUCUGUUUGUUUGUUCUUUACUUUCUUUUUGAUUGGUUUUGUCCAUAAUUUUCACGUGCUUUCAAUCUUCUGAUCUUUGAUUUGGUUUGCGAUAUUUUUUUUCCCGAGGUCGAUCUUGUUCUUUAAGUUUAGACCGCUUCACAUUAACAUUGCUGAAUCCUUCUUGUUCUUGUUUAAGUUUUAAUUUUAUGCCUCAUAAUAUUAAUUUUAUCUUCCUUCCUUUAUUUAUUUAUUUGUUGUAGUUCACAUUUUGAAUAGGAUUUGCCUUAAUCUGAGCCGAAUUAUUUUGUUAAAUUUCCUUAUUUUCCCAGUGAGGGUUUUCACUCCCCUUUUCCGGAUUUGAACCGAUGGUGACAUGGAAAACCUCACCAUGUUAAAGAUUGAAUCUUUUUCAGACCCCCACUUUAAUUUAACAACAAUGUCUGUAUAUUGUUUUGACUUUAAUUCAGUGCACCAGUAGCACCUGAAAGAAGCUAUUGUGUUGCUGAAGAUUUGAAGAUCUUGCAUUUCUUAUGUCUAUAUCUUAGAUUGGUUUUGUUAUUAUAGUUUUGGAGGUUGGUAUUUAUGAUAUAACAAUAUUGGUGCUGAAUUUUGGCCUUCCUUAUCUUUUGUCUAUCAUUCCGAAGUUGAAAGGUCAGUUUCUGGUUAAUGUGAAUUCCAUUGUAAGUUACUUGCUAUCUGAAAACUAACUAAUUUAAGUACGUACCUAGGAUGUGAGGCUGACACAUCAAAGUUUCUUUCCUUUUACUUCAAAGCAAUUUAUAUGUACCUAUGGAUAAGAGAUCCUCAUCCUCCUUUAACCGGCCAUAUGCUUUAUAAAAAGGAAACAUGUCAGACAAGUAACUAGUGUAAGAAAUACAAGCUGUUGGUUGAUGUUUGACAUGUAUUUAAAAUUCUUUAUAAUAUUGUUUUGUUUGACUGUUCUAUUUACUGAAUAAUGUUGAUAUUGCUUUUAUGUUAUCAUAAUAGUGAAGUAAUUAUUCCUACAAAAUUGAAAAUAUUAUUUAUAGUGACAAAAUUUAGCAUGUUUUAAUCUUUUAAAUUCCAUUUUAAUAGUGCUUGGUCUUUUCUACACUCCAUUUUUUCUCUGUAGAUGCAUCAUGUCGGCUUUGUUGACGCUGAAAACAUGAAUCUCACAUUUGGAAAAAGAUUACUGGAGGUAUCCAAAGGAUGCAACUCUUAAGGAUGUUAAUCACUUUGCUUUGGUGAGUAUCAAUUUUGUCAACUAUUAAAUAUUAAACUCUCAAUUAUCUAUUUACCUUCUUUAUUAGUCAAAUACUGUAUCAUGAAUCUCACAUGAUACAAUAUAUAUAUUAAAUAUUGAACUCUCAAUUAUCUAUAUACCUUCUUUAUUAGUCAACUAUAAUGCCUUUUAAAGAAAAAGUCAGAAAUAAAUCUUUAGAACAUUUCUAUGAGAUGAAAAAAAGUUUUCUUAUUAUGUGUGUCUAUGAUAUUGUCUAAGCUUCAAGUACCUAAACUCAAACUCAAACUAUACCUAAACUCAUUUUUAUUUCCCAAGCCCAACAAAGCUUCAAGUACUUGAUUUAACUUAUUUAGUGUCUUAAUACACCUGUAUUUAUCUAUAUCUAUCUUUAAUUUUAUUUUCCUUCAAGUAAAAUUCAAUUUUAAAUUAAAAGAUGAUUACUGUAUACGAUUGUAUGUGAAGUUAAUGCAUACUCAAUCUCUUUUUUUUCACCGAAAGUAUUAUGAGUGAUAUUUGAUUACAAAAUAUUCAUGAAACAUUACUUAACAUUUCUUGAGUCUAACAACAUUAAUUUCAAGGAUAAAUUUUUUGUAAAAACAACAAAAAGAUGUAUAUGAAAUUAAUUUUUUGUAAAAACAACAAAAAGAUGUAUAUGAAAUUAUGAGUGAAAUUAAUUUUUGUAAAGACAUUGAUCACUUUGUGCUUAUAUUGAGAGGCAGCCAGCUAGAAGUUGCAUCCAAUUACAAGGGUACAAAUAUAAUAUAGGUUCUCUCAAUCUUUUCUUUUUACUUGGGAGUUCAUAUUCUGUAUUUCUAAUUUAUAUUUUGUUUAAAGUUACUAGUAAUGAACAAUUUAACAUGUUAUUUAAAUAUAUCUUAAUUUAAGCUGAUGCUUCUUUAAUUUUAAGAAUUUGUGAAGCUUAACCUUUAUAUUUAAGAAAAUAACUUAUAUAUGUUCGUUUAAGUGAGAGGUUAGAAGAAAGUUAGUUACGCAGAUAGUUAUAAGAAAGUUAUAUAUGGGUAGUUAAAACUUUUAGGAAAGAGGUGUUUAUUUUCUCAACUCUCAGUUAACAACUAUUUUGAUUUUGUGUAAUAUUAGUCAUCUUUUCUUGGAUCUUGAUUCCCAAGGGCUCAUUCAAAGAAAUACUUUCUUUGUAUAUUAUCUCAUGUUUUAACAUCAUCUAGAACUAAGUAACUUCUAUUAGAUGCAUGCUAGACUUUCUCAAAUAUCAGAUUCUGAAACAGAAUUAUACAGAACAUGACCAGCAAUUUGAUUAGCAUAGUCUUAAUUUUGUUCAUCACUUACCUGACAUAUAUGUGGUUAUUUAUUGUUGUGUAUUUUCAGAUGUCAAUAAAUUUGUAUGAACAUUUCUUUCAGAAAUAACCUAUAAUAUGAAGAGAGAUCAUUGUGCUAUAUUAAAGUAAUUGAACCUAACUCCUAUUAGAUGCAUGCUAGACUUUCUCAAAUAUCAGAUUCUGAAACAGAAUUAUACAGAACAUGACCAGCAAUUUGAUUAGCAUAGUCUUAAUUUUGUUCAUCACUUACCUGACAUAUAUGUGGUUAUUUAUUGUUGUGUAUUUUCAGAUGUCAAUAAAUUUGUAUGAACAUUUCUUUCAGAAAUAACCUAUAACAUGAAGAGAGAUCAUUGUGCUAUAUUAAAGUAAUUGAACCUAACUCCAUCCCAAAAGGCAAAAGCUAUAGCUGAUGGGGAAGACUGCCCGAAUGGCAAAAUAAAUGGUUCUUUACUUAUAUACUCAAGCAAUAGGAGACAUUAAUACUUAACAUAAUGUCGGAAUUGAAGUCCCCCAUUGGUUCAAAUGAAGAAGAGUACAUAUAUGAGAAGACCAAUCGACUCAUUGUUUUGAAGUUUUGGUUCAUUAUGUGGUAAUGCAUUACAAAUAUGUAGUUGAAUAUUCUUUUCUUUUUUUGACGUGAAUGUUUGAUAGGAAAGAAAUUUGACAUUGGGUUAAGAUUUAAGGCAACAGGAGGAGCCUCUAAUUUGAGUUCACUUCUUUGCACCUUAUUUAUUGAAGACAAUUGACCCUAAGAUAAGUAAGAAUAGAGCAAAGAAGCUGCUGGGGCAACCUUCCAAGAAUCAAUUGUCCUUAGAUAAGUAAGGUAUGAGCAAUGAGAAUCAUUAAUGAGCAAUGAGAAUCAUUAAUGAGCAAUGAGAAUCAUUUGUCCCUAAGAACUAAUACAAUCAUUGCUAUAUGUAUAGAAAAACAUCUAUUCUUAGUGAAGGCAAAUGAAAUCUUGAUUAGAAAUUUCAAAUGAUACCCUUGAAAUUUGAGAUUAGUUCAGUCCUGCACUAGUUUAGUUUUUAACUUCUUUCUUUGCAGUUUGAGGUAGAGAGGAGUUUGGACACCAAGAUGUGUUGAAAUUUGCACGGAAGCUUUCUACAUUUAACACCCUUGAAGCAUUAGGCCUAGAAAUUCAAUGAUUUCUCAAUGCAAGCUUCUUGCUCUGAGGUAUAUCAAUUAGUAUUAGAAUCAUGUUACUUCGUGCGAUAAUUUUCUUGCAAAUGCAUUGGCUGUAACAGAAAGGAGAAAGUACAUUGGAGAAAGUAACAGAAAUGUUGUGUUUCAAGCCAUCUAGUUUGUGUUCCUUAAAAGGAGAGAGUGAGGUUAAUAUGAAUCAUCAAAUGGCCAAUAUUGCUUCUCAUAUAGAAACUUGACCAUAAGAUUUACACCCAAGUAAGAUUUUUUCUUCUUCUUUUGAUUCUUAUGCUAGUAACUUCCAUUAAGAUUAAUUCACUCAAGUAUAAUAUUGCCGUUAUGUUAUUUACUUAGUUAACAAUUAUUCUGGUCAAACCUUUCUCAGCUUCUAUGUAGAUUUAUGCUGUAGUAUGGGAAGGGAAUAAUUAUAUUUGGUGCAUUUAUUUCUUUAUUUUUAUUUCUUUUUGUGGUGCAUUUAUACAUGGGUAAAAUUGAAAGCACCAUUAGUCUGAGACAAGUAGAAAAAAACUGUAAACUUAUACUGUAGUAAUUAAGUUUAAAAGGGUUGGUUACUAAUGUAAACAGUUCUAUAACUUACUUUGUAUAACACAAAUUACAUGUACUUUAAUUAUUAAAACUAUGUGUGUAGAAAAGUGUUAAGGGUAGAUGUACAUAAUAUUUGGAUUGGAUUAGAUCGAAUAUUAUGUAAAAAACCAAAUCAGAGCGAACCGCAAAUUAAUUAUUUGUUUAGAUCUUAUUGUUGUCCGGUUUUACUAUUUUCAGAAAUUCUGUCUUGUUGGAAGUUGAUAGGCGUAUGUGAUAAUCGAUAUUGAUAUUGAUAUUGAUAUUUGCAUUGUUUAUUAUGAUGUGGUUUCAGUUGUUCUAUUCAUUAGGUGUUACAGUUUUAUAGAUAUGGUUUAUUAGACAUUUUUGGGACUAGGGUUUAGGAUUCAGGCUCUGGCUCUUCUAUACCUAUUAAGGCUUUGCUAACUCUAUUCCCUCUGAUGUUGACUUAACAAAUGGUCCAAGUACGACUUAUUCAAUUGUGCCUUUGACUUAAAUUUUUUAUUUACUUUUUAUUUUAUUUACAUUUUGUUAGAUUCUAUAUGUCUUCUAGACUAGAAUACAGUACAAACUGCAAGUAUUAUGUUUUACCUAUGAAUCAUUCCAACUUUUGUUGCGUGUUUGCCCAGCCUUGUAUUCAGCAACAUGGUAGUUCCAGCCUUGUAUUCAGCAACUAUGUUUUUGUAUCCUAUAUCAACUAAAUGCAUGAUUGGUUUUCUGGAUCUGUACUCAAAAUUGCUUUUCUGCCAAAACUUAUAUCUGCAAUAUUUCAAAUAUAAUAUAUCCUAAACACUAGACAGGUUAAGUCAGACAUGCAUUAUAUAAUAUUUUGGGCUGUCUGGAUUCUUGUUUUAUUAUCACGAGGAUAAGUGUUGCUUUCUUAAUUGAAACUAGCUAUUUGGAGCACCCAAAUGGAAAAGUAGCUCGAGCCUCCCAUUCUUCGUUCGUGGCAUUUAUGUCUGGCGAAGGAAUCUGAAAAGAAUGAUAGUGUCAUUGAAGGAGCAACUUGUUUUCCAUUCUAUGCAAAGAUCCUUUUAGUAGUAUUUGGUUCUACUAAUGAUCAUAAUCCUUAUUCUGAGACUUAUAUUUCGAAUACAUAUUCAUUCUUUUAUGCAAUUUAACUAGCGAGAUAUCCUGAAAUUACUCCUUUUAAGGGUAUGGCUCAUAGGAAUUGUCCAACAUCUUCCUGCUGGAGGCCCUGCCACUUUUUAUUGCAAUCACAGAGUCUGGAAAUGAAUCCUCUCGAGUACUGGAGAGACAGGUUAUUGUCUUUGCUUUGCAUUCAAGGACAAAAGUAUCAUGUACUUCGAUCCUGACUGUAAUAUUGUUUCUAAACUUCAUUUUACAAGCCUCUUAUUUACUUUUUAGGUCUUGCCCGUCAUGAUGAAACUGUUGGCACAUAUGAUUACUAUGUCGCCACAGUAUGCACAAAACAUGGUUCUUAAUGAAUGUUAUAUUCACUUCACAGGUGGGUGAUUAUGAUGUUGCAGUCAUUAUCUUACCUUUGUAAAACGUCUACCCACCAAAAUGGAGCCUCGAAAAAAAACUAAAACUAAAGAUAAUUUGACUUUACCCAGUAUUGCAGACCCAUUAAGCAGUGGUAUACUAACUUCACUACUUCAAAAGAUUCAAGUUCAGGAUUUUUGUUUUUUUUUGGUGUACUAUAUCCAGUUUUCUCCUUUCUGGUGUCCUUAGCUAAUGCACUUGUUACUGCAUGUUAUAUAUUUUGAGAAAUUCUUCAAUUGUUGCGUUUAUCUCAUCUACUAUCUGGCAUGACUUUCUUUUUUUGUCAAUGUGAUAUCAGUCUGUUCUCAAUUUUUUAUUUUCCUUUAGUUUGAUUCCCCAAGGAGAGGUGAGUCUUGAUGCAAUGAUAAGGUUGAUUCCUUGUGAGUCAUGAAUUCAAAUCCCGAAAACUAUAUCUCCUCUUGCAGCUGCCUCAUGUCUUGGGCUGCUUCUGAUUCUCCAUGAAUAUUUUCCUCCAUGAGUAUUUUCCUUCUUAUUAAAGCAAUGAAAACUACUUUGACUCACUUCCACUUUUUCCACUUUCAACUUCCUUUAUUAGCAUAAAGGGGAAUGAAGAUAGGCAAAAGGGAGAACAUGUUUAUGAAACCACAUAUUUAAAGUGCAUUAUACCCAUUCCAGAAAGCAGCUAGGCUUACCUUUUUACCUGGAAGCUGAACUUCCAACACUUGGCAUUGUUUCAGAUUGGAUAGUUUUGCACUUGUGCUAUGUUCUGUACCAAUGCCUAUUUUAAUUAAUUAUUUUGCUUUUCUGCACAGAUUUCAUGUGAAUUUAGAUUCUGAUACAUGUUGUACCAGAAAAUGAAGCUAAAAUUUAGCCUAGUAAAGCAAUAAUGUGAAGGUAUGACACUAUUUCAUUUUUAGAAAAAAUUAAUUUUACUGUUGCGUACCUUUGUUGCUUAUCCUUGAUAGUGUCAAAAAAAUACUCUUUUAUGAAGUGCUAGUUGGAAGAUAGAAAACAUAAAUUCUUAGUGAGAGAACGUUUUGGGCUUUUGGCAAUCAAUCUGACAGACCACAAGAUCCAAAGCGAUUCCACGUGUCCACAUCUCACAGUUGGGUACCUGCUAUAUCUGGUGGACUCAUAGGUCGGUCCGGUGGUGAAGGAUGAUUUAUAAAUAGCUGGGGAAGCAAACUAACACAAUUUAUAUUUUCAUUUUCUGAAUGAAAAACAAGCGAAGUUUUCCUGCAUGUAUUAGAAAUCUUGUUCUGUCGUGAAAGCUAGUGCUGUUAUUUCACUUCGAAUUCUCUGAUCUUAUGUUUGCCUGAAUAAAAAACAAUUUCGUUUCUUCUGCUUAGACGUUGUUUCUGAGGUUAGAAUACUUUGUUUCACCAAUGUGAGUGAUUUUAUCUUCUGUUUUUGACUUGUUAGUUUCCAUUCUCUGUUUGUUUGUUCUUUACUUUCUUUUGUGAUUUGUUUUGUCCUUAAUUUUUACAUGUUUUCAAUCUUUUGAUCUUUGAUUUGGUUUGCGAUAUUUUUUUGAGGUCGAUCUUCUUCUUUAAGUCUAGAUCACAUUAACAUUUCUGAAUUUUCUUGUUUCUUGUUGAAGUUUUAAUUUAAUGCCUCGUAAUAUUAUUUUUAUCUUCCUUCCUUUAUUUAUUUAUUAUAAUUCACGUUUUGAAUAUGAUUUGCCUUAAUCUGAGCCGAAUUAUUCUGUUAAAUUUCCUUAUUUGCCUCUUUUGUUUUCAGAUUUCAAUAUUAAGUGUGAGUUUUCUAGCUAACAUGUUAAAGAUUGAAUCUUUUUUAAUUUAACAACAAUGCAUGUUGUUCAUAAAAUGCAUGUUGGAUGUUAACUGUUUGGGCUUUGGCUCUUCCCUGAUUUCGUUCGAAUGCUUUAAUGUGAGUGAAGAUUACUUUGUCAACAAAUGGGUUCUUGAUUUCCCAAAUAUAACUGACAAUUUGAUUUGGUGGGCAACUGUCUAAUGAAUAAUGUUCUUCAUUUUCCAAAUUUAACAACAAUGCCAGUAUAUUGUUUUGACUUUGAUUCAGUGCACCUGUAGCACCUGAAAGAAGCUACUGUGUUUAUGUUGCUGAAGAUUUGAAGAUCUUGCAUUUCUUAUGUCUAUAUCUUAGAGUGGUUUUGUUAUUAUAGUAUUGGAGGUUGCUACUGUGUUUUGUCUAUCAUUCUGAAGUUGAAAGGUCAAAGGUUAGUUUUGGCUUCAUUUGUUUCUGGUUUGAGUAUAUACUUGUAGUUUUUUAGGAUAGCUUGUUUUGUUAUAUUUAAUUUCACCAUAUUUUGUUUUGACAAAAUUAUCUUAUGGUGAGUUCUGGCUUAUGCUCUUGAAUAUGGCGAGUUCUGGCUUCUAUCUAGGCAUCAGUCAACUGAUCUUCUUGCCAAAUCAUUAGCCAUUAUCAAGCGAAUGCCUUCGCUAACAAAAGACUCUGCCUUGGAAAAACACCGCAUUACUACUUUUGGAGUUCAACAAUUUAAUCAAGACUACAGUGCCAGCUUUGAUACCGGCCUUGGAACAAAUCCCAGUUGAUGUCUAUGGGGCUAUCAUCACUGCUGCUGCAAUUGUUACUCAGAUUGAUUCCCUAACCAUUGGAAAGUAAGAGUUAAUGAAAACUUUUACAUAUAACUAAGCUACAGGUUCAGUAACGGUUCAAAUAAUAUUCUAUAACUGUUUCAUGAUUUCAGGGACACGAGGCAAGAAUUGGCUCCCCAUUUGGUCAAACUAUUAACAUCAUACUCAGCAAAUUGAGAAAGCAGAUAUCUGCCAUCAACAGAUAGGUAAAUUAGUUACCUAAAAUAGAUUAGCAACAUCUUAUGGGGACAGUAGAUGUGAUCCCAGUUUUUACUAUUUCAAAAGCAUUGAAAUGCAUUGUUUAUAUGCAUCAUGUUAAGGAAAUUAUUGUACUUCUCAGAGGAAGCAGAGUAUGUAUCUCAAAUUGCUCAAGAUAUACUUUCAAACCCCUACUGAAAUUAGUGUGGUGCUUAAGUUUCUCUUUUAUGGCAAAAACACUCCAAAGAUGGAUAUUUAUGACGGUGAAACACAGGUUAGCCACACAUUUUAAUGAACAGUGCCGUAGCACGAAUCUGAUAUUAUUUUUUCUCAACUGCACAGUUCAGAUAAGAUCAUGAAGUUUACCUUGUUAUGUAGAAUUGAUGCUUCUUGGUCAAAAAGCAGCCAUGAUUCAUCUUGACUUAUGCACAUAGUAGCAAGGGAAUUUAUAUUAGUUUCAAGGAAUUUUUAUUAAUGAUAUAUUGAGGGUUUGAGCAGUCUUGUUGCAUUUUUGAGCCAUCAAUUUGGUGCCAGACAUGCAAAAUAUUAUUGCUAAAAAUAUAUCAGCAAUAUUUUUUUAUAAUUUUUAGCAGGCUAUCUCACAAUCAUAAGUAUAGCAGUGAUAUAACAAUGGUUGAGAUGGAGGUAAAACCAGGAGGCGCCUCCAACAGUAGUGGUGGUGGAAAUGAUGUGGAGCUGCUUUGCAAAACUCUUCAGGUGGAACACUAGCUUUUUUACUUCAAUCUCAAGGAGAAAACUUGAGAUUUCUGAGAAAACUUCCCUUACCCGCUCCACUGUCAUUGUUCCAUCAUCCAGCAUUGGUUUGUUGACCUGUUUAAUUACUAUGUUACCCGCUCCACUGUCAUGGAAUUGCAGCUUGACACCAAGGUUUUCAAUUAAAAUUUAAUAAUUGCUAAUUAGUUAGAUACCUUAUAUUGCAUGCAUAUGUGAGAGAGGUGCCAAUUUUAGUUGUAUAAUGAAGUUGUGUUUCUCUCAUUCUUUGGUUAAUUACUCACUUUUUUCAGAUUUUCUACUUCGACAUUGGGGAGAAUAGGAGGUCCACAAAGAUGAUUUCUGUGACAAUGAAGGUCCCCUCUCUGCCAAUGUUUGAAGAGGGAUACAAAUGGGUGUUCGUCUAUGUCUUAUUUGUUCUUAUUAUAAGAUCGCGAUUGGAUCCACAUAUGUUUGGUAAAAAGAAUAAUCUUCUCCUUUGCUUUGAGAAUAAUCUAAAAAGGAAAGUGUUCAAUUGGAACAUGAAAACGUGACUGAAUUGGUCCUAGUUACUCUUCGGGUCGGGGUGGAAGAGAAUGAUGUUAAUAUUGGAAAUUAUGAACCCAUCUUUUUGACCUUCAUUUUUCUGUCAUUUUAUGUCCAGGCUUUUAUUCUUCCAUUUUGAAAUUCAACAUUUAUUUUCAAUCAUGUUCUGACCAAUUAUAAUAUAUCAUGGUAUAGGCACUAGAGCAGGUGCGUAUGGAGAAUUGCACAACAGUCUUUGAUGUAAAUUAUAUUCUGUUCAUGCGUCUCAAAUGUUAUUUCAGGCAAGAAGUGAACAAACAAAUAAGCCUGCUUAUUUUAUUGUUAACGGAUUUAUUUACUUCACAUAGGCAAACAUACGAAUCUUAUCUCCCUGUAACCAUUCUUAUACUUAAAAUAAGAAGUGUUCGCAUAGGUUUAUUUAAUGUAAAAAUAUCUUGUUUUUCCAUCUUCUCACCCUCAAAAUAUUAGCCUAUCAUCUAGAUUUACAUGAGCGUAAGCAGAGCUGCCACUGGUGUGGAAGCUUCUAAACUCUUCCUUGCAGGUUAUUGCUGUCAUCAUCAUUUGAUAUGAUGACCUUUUAAUGUUCAAAAGUUGUUUUUUCAUUUUUCCUACAUUCCAUGUGGAUUUCAUACUAUUGAAAAGAUUAAUACAUCUACAUUGCUUUUAAAAUUAACAGUACUUACCACACAAACUUCUCAUGUAUAGUUGUAUACUUGUAUUGUAUUGUAUUGUUUUGUGAACGUUCUUCUAAUGUUCUUUUGCAGCUAUUUCAUUCAUUUCUGCUCUUGAUUUCUUGUUAUACGGUGAAAGGUAAAAUGUUGUCUUUCUGAUGGCACCAUUCUUGGUAUGUCAUCAAAGACUAGGUUGUUUAUCCUGUUGAGACACUUCCCCAUUGAAUUCGGAGUUCGUCAAAAGAGGCUAUAUGAGGUUCUAUCUGAGUAUGAGUUGCUUUAUGUUUUUGAACCAUAGAAAAAAGUAUAUCCAUAUAAUAUAAUGUUCAGGCAAUGCUGCAAGAGUCAAGGAAAAUAUUAUAGGAGGACUUUGUUGGUUAAAAAAUUCUGCUAAAAAUUAUUGUUGACUAACUUUUGACCUUGGCAGGUUGGCUCAGUGACAAGUGUUUGCUGCACUGGUUUCUUGAUAAGAUGUGUUAUGGUGAGUUGCUUCCAGUUUACAAACAUUAUAUAUAUUUGACGCUGUUGUUUUCUGACAAGUACUUCAUUAACACCUUUAAUGUAGCUUGCACUUUUCGCAUUUGAUGAGAAUGUAAAUCUUGAUGUCUUAGAUCAUCCUAUUCUUAAUCUAGUCUAUUAUAUGGUAAGUUUCAAUAUAAUACCAAUUUCUCUUGGCCAGCCUCAGGUGGAAUAGGACAUCGUGUGACUGCACACUAAAAAUGCACUUGACAGCUAGGACCCCCUUGUUUAGUGUAUGAAAAUAUGAUUGGAUUUACUGGACAAACACUUGACACCUUUAUAGUUUUGGGAAAAAUUAAAAUUUGCAGCCAUCUUUCGUGGUCAGCCUGUGAAUGUGUUUGUUGCCUUAUUCCUGAAACCCAUUCUUCUUUCUCCAAUAUUGUGGUGAGAAUGUUCUUUUUGGGCAAGUUACGUAGCCCCUUUUAAUGAAAACAUCACACGUGUCACACUCUGUGCCACAUCCUUUGCCGAUGUGUGGGAUUGAUCAACAAAAUUAAAUUUAAUGAAUCUAAUGAACUUCCAAUUAAAUUUGUUUUCUUUUAGACCAAUCCCUACAUUUUGGCCAUGACACAGGGAGUGACACAAACUGUGGGACAGAUGAUGUGAUCCCAUAUACAUGUACAUCCUCUUAACACCCCGUGCUUGCAACCAUUAUCAAUCUUAGAUAUUUCUUUUAUUCACGUUAGAACUUAGAACAAGACAAAACAAAAUAUGGUUCUUUUCUGUGUUUGGCGGAAGAGGAAAGACUGAUAAGUAGAACAUUUUGGUUCCACUAUAAGGGGUGGAACUAAUGAGAACAAAACAGUACAGUUGGUGCUGUCAUGUUCCAUCAUAUUCUGCCUGAGCACCAUAUGCUACCUUAUUAUUCCUAGUGGUUCAUCAUAUAACUGGUCAUUGGUUCAUGAGUUAUGUAGGGCUUUAAUAGUUGUUUUAAUAUUCCCCAUGAUAGAAGAAAUUCAUUAAGACUAGGAGCCUUUGUCUAUUUUAGUCCUAUUUUCCUAACAUUGGUAUGUGGUAUGCUUCUGGCAAGUGACACUAAUUUGGGAUGCUGAACAUUUUCAACAAUAUGGUAAAGUUGAAAGGUGGCUAGAAGAGAUUUGAAUGUGGAUUCUUAAGUUCAAGGAUGCUGUUUUUGGGAUUGCUCUGGAGGUAAUUAGUUUCUUCUGCUUUUAAUUCCUUUGCUAUUGCCAUAACUGCUUGUGGACCUUUGUGUGUAUGUUACUGUUUUACUAUUUUCAGCAAUUCUGUCUUGUUGGAAGUUGAUAGGCGUAGGCGACAUGCGAUAUUGACAUUGAUAUUUGCAUAGUUUAUUAUGAAGCGGUUUUAGUUGUUCUAUUCAUUAGGUGUGACAGUUUAAUAGAUAUGGUUUAUUAGACAGUUUUGGGACUAGGGUUUAUGAUUCGGGUUGUGGCUCUUCUUUACAUAUUCAAGGCUUUGCGAACUCUAUGCCCUCUUAUGUUGAUUUAACAAAUGGUCCAGGUACGACUUAUUCAAUUGUGCCAUGGACUUAAAUUUUUGUUUUACUUUUUAUUUUGUUUACAUUUUGUUAGAUUCUAUAUGUCUUCAGGACUAGAAAACUGAAUACUCAUGAUCCAAGGAUACAGUACAAACAGCUCGCAUUUUGUUUUACCUAUGAGUCAUUCCAACUUUUGUUGAGUGUUUGCCCAGCUUUGUAUUCAGCAACGUGGUAGUUCCAGCUAUGUUUUUGUAUCCUAUAUCAACUAAGUACAUGAAUGGUUUUCUGGAUCCUUACACAAAAUAGCCUUUCAGCCAAAACUUAUCUCUGCAGCAUUUUAAAUAUAAUAUAUCCUAAACACUAAAACUAAAGAUAAUUUAACUUUAGCCAGUAGUGCAAACCCAUUAAGCAGUGGUACACUAUCUUCACUACUUCAAAAAGAGUCAAGUUCUGGAUUUUUGUUUUUUUUGGUGUAUAUAUCCAGUUUUCUACUUUACGGUGUCCUUAGUAAAUUCACUUGUUAUGUUAAAUCUUAAUAAUGCACUUGUUACUGCAUGUUAUAUGUUUUGAGUCAAUUCUUCACUUGCUGCAUUUAUCUAAUCUGUUAUCUGGCAUGACUUUCUUUUUUUGUCAAUGCGCCUGUCAGUUUGUUCUCAAUUAUUAAUUUUUGUUUAGUUUGAUUCCCCAAUGAGAGGGUGUGUCUCGAUGCAAUGGUAAGAUUGAUUCCUUGUGAACUGGAGGUCAUGAAUUCAAAUCCCGAAAACUAUAUCUCCACUUGCAGUUGCGUCGUGAAUAUUUUCCUGCAUGAAUAUUUUCUUUUUUAUUAAAGCAAUGAAAACUACAUUGACUCACUUCCAGUUUUUCCACUUUCAACUUCCUUUAUUAACAUAAAGGGGAAUGAAGAUAGGCAAAAGGGAGAACAUGUUUAUGAAACCACAUAUUUAAAGUGCAUUAUACCCAUUUCAUAAAGCAGCUGUGCUUACUACCUUUUUACCUAGAAGCUGAACUUUCAAUACUUGGCAUUGUUUCAACAUCACAUAGUUCAGACAGGCAUAUUGAUUUGCAAAGCAAGAGUGCCAGCACACUCUUCAUUGAAUUGUACACUUCCAUGACUACUAACUUUUGUGGUAAUAAUUUUAAUCUUCAAGGUUUUUUGCUGCCCCUUUUCUCAACUACUAAAACUUUUGCUCUAGUUCCUGGCCAUCCUGAAAAAGCACGAACCUGAUAUUAUUUUGUCUCAACUGCACAAUUCAGAUAAGAUCAUGAAGUUUACCUUGUUAUGUAGAACUGAUGCUUCUUGGUCAAAAAGCAGCCAUGUUUCAUCUUGACUUAUCUGCACACAGUAGCAAGGGAAUUUAUAUUAGUUACAGGAUAAAAUUAUGCCUAUGGCCUCUCAAUGGAUCUCUAUUGAUAAUAUUUUCAAGGAAUUUAUGUUAAUGAUAUGUGGAGAGUUUGAGCAGCCUUGUUGCAUUUUUGGUGCCGGACAUGCAAAAGAUUGCAGCAAUAUUUUGUUAUAAUUUUUAGUAGGCUAUCUCACAAGCAUAACUAUAACAAUGGCUGAGAUGGAGGUAAAACCAGGAGGCUCGGAGGAGGCACCUCCAGCAGCGGAGGUGGUGGAAAUGAUGUGGAGCUGCUUUGCAAAACUCUUCAGGUGGAACACAAGCUUUUGUAUUUCGAUCUCAAGGAGAACCCUCAUGGUCGUUACCUUGAGAUUUCUGAGAAACCUUCCCCUACCUGCUCCACUGUCAUUGUUCCAUCAUCCAACAUUUCAUGGUUUGUUGAUCUGUUUAAAUACUAUGUCAAUUCUGAUGAUCAACAGCUCUUCAGCUUGGAAUUGCAGCUGGACACCAAGGUUUUCAAUUAAAAUUUAAUAAUUGCUACCUAGUUAGAUGCCUUAUAUUGAAUGCAUAUGUGAGAGAAGUGUCAAUUUUAGUUAUAUAAUGAAGUUGUGUUUUUCAUUCUAUGGUUGAUUGCUCACUUUUUUCAGAUUUUCUACUUUGACAUUGGGGAGAAUAGGAGGGGUUGUUUCUUAAAAGGUAACUGUUACCAUUUUUAUCUUUAACUUAGUUUAUACUUCCCUGUUUAUUUCUUUCAGCCUUUCUAUUUCAAUUUUCAGUUUACUUGAUUGGAUUUUUGUUGGUUAUCAUUGUUUGCCUAAUUGGAUUACUUCAUUAAGUUGGGAUGCCAAUUGGUUUUUUAUCAUGCUUGCUUUCGCCUUUUUUCUCAAUAUUUAUGGUAGAAAAUGAUUGAUUACAGUAUGUUAAAUGUAUCAAAAUAUCAAUCAAUUCCUUCAUGGAAUGCCUUACUUCUCUUGUCAAUGAACUAGAAUGGGGUGUAUUUGGAUCUCUGCUCAGUACCCACUCUUGAAGUUUAAAUAUGUUUUCUAUGUUUGUAUGGUUCGAACUUUAAAAAUAUUCUGUAUAUAUAGAAGGAAAUAUUUUAUUAUGGCCAACCCUCAAGGAUUCUGACAAUAUUUCAUGAAACUUCUGAUUGUAACUGCAUAUCCUUUUGCUGUGUUUUUGGGCUCAUCUAUUUUAUGGUUAUUAACAUUUCUAUCUUUUGAAAAAGCAUUACAUGUAUAUUUAUUUUGUUUGAAGAUUAUGAUUCUAAUUUCUUUUGUGAAGGUGUCUGAAGCUUCUGUUAGCAAGAAUCUUAGUGCUAUCACUGUUCCUGCAGGAAGCUCUAUGGUUGAAGGGUGGGCAUCAUUCAGGAAUAUUAUGGCUGAGAUUAAUGAGUCGUCAAGGCUUUUCAUUCUGCCCAAUCAGGUUUCAUUCUUUUGCAUGCAGGCAUUUCCCCCUGCUAUGCCGGAUGAUGUUGGUGCUGGCUUUAUUUCUGGCCAACCUGCCACCUCUUCUGAGUUUAGUGUGGAUAAGUCUGUUGAUUUUCUAUCUCAGGAUGAAAUUGGGAACUUGGGGGUCUCAAAAGUGAUCAGGGUUGUUCAACACAGAUUCUUGUUUGAUCUUAGGAGCAAUAAUGGGGGCCAUUUGUUAAGAAUAUCUGAGGUCUGCUUCCAUUAUCUUUUUUAUCAUUUUCCUUUAUUUUAAUGAGGGAAGUUGGUUUUCUGCAGGGAAUUCUUGUUAUUACAUUGCAGGUUCUCAUCGAUCCUCCAUCAUUCUUCCGCUCUCAGGACUCGAGUUGUUUAAUGAGGUUGUUGGCCACUUUGUGGAAAUCAUAAAAGACCGAAUCGAGGGAAUGCCGGUUACUAAUGUCCGCACAAUUGUUCUUCCAUUAAUGAUAUCCAAUGUGUGGGACAGAUGACGUGAUUCUGACCACAUGUGUAUAGACUUUACAAUAUUCGCAAAGAGGUGUUUAUUUUGUCAACUCUCAGUUAACAACUAUUUUGAUGUGGUGUAAUAUUUCCUUAGAUCUUGAUUCCCAAGGGCUUAUUCAAAGAAAUAUUUUCUUUGUAUAUUAUCUCAUGUUUUAACAUCUAGAACUAAGUAACUUCUAUUACAUGCAUGCUAGACUGUCUCAAAUCUCAGAUUCUGAAACAGAAUUAUGCGGAACAUGACCAAAGAAAAGUCAUAUCAGCAAUUUGAUUGCCAUAGUAUUAAUUUUGUUCAUCACUUACAUACAUAUAUGCGGUUAUUGUUUUGUAUUUUUAGAUUUUGAUAAAUUUGUAUGAACAGUUAUUUCAGAAAGUUUCUUUUUUCAAGGGAUGUUCUUCACGAUUUAAUAUGCAGAUUGUAAGUCAUGCUUUACAUGUUUACAUUUAUCAUUCUUUAAAUGUUAUGUUUUCAUGAGAUCUGAUAAUCUAUCAACCUUCAAUACUGAACUUUUCACUUAGUUAUUCUCANNNNNNNNNNNNNNNNNNNNNNNNNNNNNNNNNNNNNNNNNNNNNNNNNNNNNNNNNNNNNNNNNNNNNNNNNNNNNNNNNNNNNNNNNNNNNNNNNNNNAUAGAAGCUAGCUCAUACGGGUAGGUAGGUUGUCCAUAAAAAAUGUUCUCUACUCUUAUAUUAAACCAAUAUGUAAGUGUUUUGCCUAUUGAGUUCACUUCUUUGCAUCUUAUUUAUAGGAAACAAUUGACUCCUCUAGUGUCUACUAUUUGGACAUGGCAUACAAGUUCCUCUGUAGGAAACAAAUGACAUUGAGUUAAGAUUUAAGGCAAUAAGUGAGAAAUAUGAUCACUGACCUAUAUGUUCUGAGUGAACUAUACCUCACUGAAAGCAUUUUUUCAUAGAAGAUGAAGAUUAUGUAAGAAAAUGCUAUGUUGAAAAAAAGAUAAGAAAACAUGAACCAGGAUUAUUUCACUUCUAACUGUGAUGCUUUUAUAUUUGAGGAAUAUGCAUAGAUGUUCCUCUCUAGGUGCCAUCAAAACACUAUAUCCCAUAUCUAAACAUUUUUUUACUGUUUUUAUUGUUGUCUACAGCAGAGAUAAUGCAGGAAGAUGGUGAUACAGAGGAGAUAAUUACAUUGCGAACCUACAGUUUCUUUGGCGAGGUUUCCUUCCUUUGCAAUAUGCCUCAAACUUCAAUGGUUCGAGCUCAUGAGUUUUGCAAGGUUUUGCGUCUUGAUAAGCUAUUUUUUAUAGACACUGAAGCUAUACUUUGUAGAUGGCCAUGUUAUCUUGAAUAAUCUCCUUGCGGUAUGUUUUCUCCCUUUCGAUUAUUGCAUAUAUAACUAAAUAAAAAUGAUUGUUUUUCUUUAGAAGCUUUUUAUGUAUAUGCUAUCAAGUCAUUUUGAAAAAUCACCCUCACUCACACUUGUAUUUAGUGUUAGUGUAAUAACUUUUAACCCAUGGUAUGUUUUAGGGAAGAAGAAAAAUAUGGUAGUCUUUCAUUGAAGGGAUUUCAUAAUCCAUAAUCCAUAUUUUGGGCUGUUUGGAUUCUUGUUGCAUUAUCACGAGGAUAAAUGUUGCUUUCUUAAUUGAAACUAGAUAUUUGGAGCACCCAAAUGGAAAAGAAAGAAGAAAGGGGAAGAAGUAUAAUGAAAGGUGCCAUUCUAUCGGCAAUUUUGUACAAGGAUGGGAUAAUGCUACUCUUACUACUUUCUUUACAAUUCUCAUAUACCUUCCACUCUCACUCUCCCUUCACCACUUCUGAAUGUCAGUAAGAAAAUUGAAAUUAUCCUCAUGCUUCUGUUCUCCUAACCAAUAUUUGCAAAGAGGUGUUUAUUUUCUCAACACCUAGUUAACAACUAUUUUGAUUUGAUGCAAUAUUAGUCAUCUUUUCUUGGAUCUUGAUUCCCAAGGGCUCAUUCAAAGAAAUACUUUCUUUGUAUAUUAUCUCAUGUUUUAACAUCAUCUAGAACUAAGUAACUUCUAUUAGAUGCAUUCUAGACUUUCUCAAAUAUCAGAUUCUGAAACAGAAUUAUACACAACAUGACCAACAUUUUGAUUAGUAUAGUAUUAAUUUUGUUCAUCACUUACCUGACAUAUAUGUGGUUAUUUAUUGUUGUGUAUUUUCAGAUGUCAAUAAAUUUGUAUGAACAUUUCUUUCAGAAAAAUCACAAUCACAAGAUUUGGUGAAAUUUAAAGAGAAAGGAAUGGUUGGCAUGUGGCGUCUAUAUUUCUGAAGCAGGAGAUCUGAUAGAACUAUGAACUUUUUCUUCUUAUUCUUUUUCACUGUCUCAGCAACAUAAGCCAUAACAACAUGAGUGAAGUUUAGGCAGAAGCUCAAGUGGUUCAACUAAAGAGAAGAAUCAAUACUUGCAUCUAUAUAAAAAUGUUAUAGUAUCCAAAGAGAGGUAACAUAUCAGGUUUCUUUAUUUCUCUGCCACUGUUAUUUUCUGUUUUCUACUACGACUAGUACUUGCAAUAAGUUUUCUAUUAUUUUUCAUUUCUUAAACUAUAAAAAUAUUCCAGCCAUUUAAUAUUAUUUAUUAAUUGCUUGUCUUAAUGAUAAAAAUAGAGUAGUGAAAAUGUUAAUAGGAGAAAAUAAUAAAUGUUUCAAAAAAAUAUAUUAACGAGCUAAAACAUCUGAGCAAAAUUGAGUUUCCCAUUGCAGCCAAAUGAGCCAAUGUUAAUCCUGUAUUAUCAUUGAAACUCCAACAAUAAUAAAACCUUGAAAAUUGCGAAUGUGGAUCAGUUGUCCCACUUUUCCGUGUCCAAUUGUGUCACAAUCCAAUAAAAAUUUGACACAUGAAAACCUUGUUCCUUGACACAUGAAUCAAAGGAUUGUCAUUCACUGAUUUUAUCUCCCUUUUGUUGAUGAUCGAAUAACUUCAAUUUGAGGAUCUAAAAAUUGUGAAGUUUGGAGAGCUUAUCUAUCUGGUUUAGGCUUUUGGAGGGUCUAUUUCAUGUAACUUGUGUGCUGCUUUCACAUAAGCAAUUCCACGCAAGAUGUGUUCCAUUAUGGUUAAAAGCAAAAGUUGUUCUUCGCAAAAGGGCAUGAACUAUAGGAGAUCACACGACUACAGUGGAGUGUCUCCACUUGCAUUUGAAAGUCAAUUUGUGACAAUUAAUGGCCAACAAUCCACUAGCUAGGAAGGAUUUGUUUACUAACAUUUCACUAAAAUUAUUUAAGGUGCAUUUACUUGGGUUUUGAAAAUAUAUCUUCACAUAGUAAGAAUUAACUGAGAACUUGAUUUCGGUUAUAAUUUACAAAUACUAUUCUAGCAAUUCAUAACACUAGUCUUUCUAAAAGUAGCUUUUGAUAGUUGUUACAUGCUUAAUGUAGUUAAUUGAUCAUUGUAAAUUUAACAUUACUGCGAAAAUCAUAUUUCCCUUAUUAGUUGCUAUUAAUGUUGAAUUAGAGUUUCAUGUUUGUCAAGGCGAUGGUGGUGGAGAAAAGAGGAACAAUUAGGCAAUGACAAGAGUUGGUGACAUUUGUGGACUUAUAUUUUCAAAGCAUUACAACUCACUCUCAUUGUUAGGAUGAGGGAUAUUUUAGAAGAGAGUCAAGAUGAAGGACAUAAUGUAGAAACUUAAGUGGUUCCAUGAAAGAGAAGAAUUAUAAAAUAUCCAAAAAGAUUUCACAUAUCAGGUUUCUUAUUUCUCUACCAAUGUUAUUUUCUAUUUUCUAGUGGCACUUGUUAAGUCUCUAUUAUUUUUCAUUUCUUAAACUAUUAAAAUAUUAUUUAUUAAUUGCUUGCCUUGAUAAUAAAAAAAUAGAGUAGUGAAAAUGAUAAAAGUUUAAAAAAAAAAAAUUAAAUAUUUUUAAAAAGAAUUAUCAAUUUUUUAAAUACUAUGUUAUAAAAAAAUAUUUUCGAAGUUGUAUAAAAAUUAAAGCAUCGAUAACCGAAAAUAAAUUAAAGCAUAUGAGGCGUUGGGCCAGGGCCCAUGUUUCGCAUGACCGUUACGUCUAAGUGUGCGUGAUAUUUACGUUAACUUAACUCUAUAUAUUGUUGUUGAACGUUCAAACACAUACAUUGUUGUUGUUGGGUGUGCUUUGGUUCUUGGAGAGAGAGAGUGAGAAUUUGUGGCAUUUCAUCUCUCGAUUUUAUCUCUUCAUUCAGCAACAUAGGCAAUUCAAUUUCUUCGUUCUCGGUGGGGUUUCUUCUUUUCUUACUUUAUUUUUCUCUUUCUUCCAUUUCCCCGUUUUUUGUUUUAACAUUUCAAUUCUUUUUACUAUUUAAUUUCACCAAAGUGUCAAGCAAAUCAAAACCCUAAAAUCUUGAAACAGUUAUUCCAUAAUGUUUAUUCUUGGUGGAUUAUGAGUGUGAGUAAGCGAUCUUGGUGGAACAGAGAGAGAGAAUACAAUUUCCUUGUGGCUUGACAACUCAAGAAUGUUUAUUCUUCGAAGACCAAGAAUUUAGUCUAUAAUGAUUCUUUAUAAUUUCCUUGACACGUUAAUGUUGCAAGAGAAAGUUUGCACCCCUAAUUUAUAAAAUAAGUUAACUGUCUGAAGUUUUUAUGUUAUUUUUUGAACAAGAUUGAGGACUUGAAAUAAAAAUAAGUAUCCAUUAAACUUUCACUCUCAGGGUUACAUGUUGUGCUUUUCUUGCUUUAUUGACCUUAAAUUCUAAGGUUGAAACUUUAGUAUCCAUUACAAUGGUUGAAACUUGAAUUCAAGUAGAAUUUGCAACUUGUAAGUGCUACAUGUUUCUGUGUUCCCUUUCUUUCUAGAUUUUCAAUCUUAUUGGAUAGAGCUAGAGCUAACACACUAAUGAGCUAAUGUUCUCAGUUAUUCAAGAAUUUCAUUCUUGGUGGAAUGAAAUUGUGGGUGAACGAUUUUUGUAGAAUAGAGGGGGAGAGAAUGUAGCAGUUUUGCCUAUUAUGUUUCUUUGGUUAGCCUUGCUGCUGCUUUUGCUUACCAUAUGGGGUGUUUUUUAUGUUUUGCAUAUUGAGAAUUAUUUAUGAUUUUAGUUCAUCCAAAAACAAGCUUAUACAAAAUGCUGAUAAUCGGAAAUAUUUUCUUUGUAUAUUAUCUCAUGUUUUAACAUCAUCUAGAACUAAGUAACUUCUAUUAGAUGCAUGCUAGACUUUCUCAAUUAUCAGAUUCUGAAACAGAAUUAUACAGAACAUGACCAGCAAUUUGAUUAUCAUAGUAUUAAUUUUGUUCAUCACUUACUUGACAUAUAUGUGGUUAUUGUUGUGUAUUUUCAGAUGUCAAUAAAUUUGUAUGAACAUUUCUUUCAGAAAUAACCUAACAUCAAGAAUACCAUUUUGAUAUAUUAAAGUAAUUGAACUUAACUUCGUCCCAAAAGGCAAAAGCUACUAGCUGUUAGGGAAGACUGCCCAAAUGGCAAAAUAAAUGGUUCUUUACUUAUAUACACAACCAAUAGGAGACAUUAAUACUUAGCAUAAUGUCGGAAUUGAAGUCCCCCAUUGGUUCAAAUGAAGAAGAGUACAUAUAUGAGAAGACCAAUUGACUCAUUGUUUUGAAGUUUUGGUUCAUUAUGUGGUAAUGCAUUACAAAUAUAUAGUUGUUUUAUUCUUUUCUUUUUUUGACAUGAAAAUUUGUCUAAUAUAACAAACUAUGUCUNNNNNNNNNNNNNNNNNNNNNNNNNNNNNNNNNNNNNNNNNNNNNNNNNNNNNNNNNNNNNNNNNNNNNNNNNNNNNNNNNNNNNNNNNNNNNNNNNNNNCCAAAGGGCUUAUUCAAAUUAUCUUCACCACAGAAAUAUUUUCUUUGUAUAUUAUCUCAUAUUUUAACAUCUAGAACUAUGUAACUUCUAUUAGAUGCAUGCCAGACUUUCUCAAAUCUCAGAUUCUGCAACAGAAUUAUGCAAAACAUGACCAAAGAAAAGUCAUAUCAGCAAUUUGAUUGCCACAAUAUUUUCUUUGUAUUCUCAUGUUUUAACAUCUAGAACUAUGUAACUUCUAUUAGAUGCAUGCCUGACUUUCUCAAAUCUCAGAUUCUGAAACAGAAUUAUGCAGAACAUGACCAAAGAAAAGUCAUAUCAGUACUUUGAUUGCCACAUAUGUGGUAAUUGUAACAAUUUGCAACAAUUUCGAUUAUGAAGAACUUCUAGUGAAGAUCAACAAUUUUCAACAAGAAAUAGAAGUAGGUGCCAAUAUGGCAGGCAUUUUCAAAGAUGUAAAGCCAAAUGAAGUCUUGAUUAGAAAUUUGAGAUUAGUUCAGUCCUGCACUAGUUUAGUUUUUAACUUCUUUCUUUGCAGUUUGAGGUAGAGAGGAGUUUGGACACCAGGGUUGAAAUUUGCUGUGCAUGGAACAAGCUUUCUACAUUGAACACCCUUGAAGAGAAAAAAUAAGAGAAAAAAUGUAUAAAUAUUCAAAGUCAAAUGGCCAAGAUUGCUUCUCAUAUAGAAACUUGACCAUAAGAUUUACACCCAAGUAAGAUUUCUUCUUCUUUUGAUUCUUAUGUUAGUAACUGGCAUUAAGAUUAAUUCACUCAAGUAUAACAUUGCCUUAUUUACUUGGUUAACAAUUAUUCUGGCCAAACCUUUCUCUGCUUCUAGGCAGAUUUAUGCUGUAGUGCAUUUAUUUCUUUUUGUGGUGCAUUUAUACAUGGGUAAAGUUGAAAGCACCAUUAGUCUGAGAACCGUAAACUUAUACAUUAGUAAUUAAGGUUAAAAGGGUUGGUUACUAAUGUAAACUAUUCUGAUAACAUUACUUUUUUUUCCACACAAAUUACAUGUACUUCAAUUAUUAAAACUAUAUGUAGAAAAUUGUAAAGGGUAGAUAAUAUUUGGAUUAGAUUAAAUUGAAUGUCAUGUAAAAAAGUUUGACAAGAGCGUAUCGUAAAUUAAUUAUUUGUUUAGAUAGAAUAUUUUUUUGCCUAAAAACAGACACAAACCGCGAAAACCCCUAAUUGUCAUCAUAAUUAUUUUUUAAUUUAAAUUUCUAUAAUAACUAAUAAGGUAGCAUAAUAUUAUGCUACCUUAUUAUUCCUAGUGGUUCAUCAAAUCACUGUUCAUUGGUAAUUGGUUCAUGAAUUUAUGUUCAUUGGUAAUUGGUUCAUGAAUUUAUGAAUGGCUUUAUAGUUAUUUUAAUAUUCCCCAUGAUUCAUUGGUAUGCUAUUGGCAAGUGACACUAAUUUGGGAACAGUUUCAUCAAUAUGGUAAAGUUGAGAGUUUCUGUACAGGAUCUACAUUCUGCAAUGAAAAAUUAAAUUUCAUUUUCAAGUAGACUUGAAGACUUACACAUUGCCAGAGUGGAGGUAAUGAAAUUUUAUUUUCUAUAUAAAUGACAAUCAUCGAAAUAUAUUAAAAUCAACAUGUCAAUUACUCAAGAUGAGAAGAAUAUGUCAGAUGCUCAAGAUGAAAAAUAGAAAAAUAAUUUGAAUAUCUCUGAGGAAGAAUGAUAAUCCGGAGUCUUGAUCAUAAAAUAUAUUAAAAUCAGGGGAGGAACUUAUCUUGUAAUUGACUUUUUUAUAUCUUAUACAUUUUGCUACUACACUCUCAUGUAUCUUGUUACUAUAUGCAUUCAUUGAAAUUGCAGGUGAGUACAAGCAGAGGCCUGGAAAGUUUCAAAUUUUUUGAGAAUGCUGAGGACUUGCCAAUCAUUAACGGAAAAAUAAUUAAAUUAGUUUCCCCCCAUUAAACUUAGACCUCGAAGAUGCACUGUUUGAAUGCUAAGCCAAAAUCAAUUCCUAAUAUAAAGAAUCAACAUUAUGCCUUCAGUAAUUGUAAAAAUUGUAAGUUUUUUGUUAAUUUUAUUUAUAUUUUUUUCUGUCCGUAGGAUUGUUAGUUGCUGUUGUUUUUAUAUUGAGUAACUUUUACCAAAUGAAAUUGAUGAGUGCUGUAAAAGGGAAAAUGACAUGGGAAAUGAGUAAAGUUUUACUUCAAAGCUCUUCUCUAAUUGCUGUAAAAAUUUCUGACAACUUUUGAUGUAGGGACUUGGCCAUCCCUAUUAUUCAUGGGUUUAUAUCUGGUUAACUAAAUUUCUUUGAGACAACUCCAUCUUCUAUUUAAUUGGCAUUAUGUUAAUUCAUGCUUUUGGUCCUUUCGAAUUAUAAAAUAAAAUCCAGAAGUAUCUUUUCCUCAAAACUAGUGCACUAGUAGAAUCAACUUCAUAUUACUAGACUAUAAUUUUUAAUUAAUUAAACUGAGUACAUAUCUCUUGACUCGUAAUUCCAUUUUCUUUUUUAAGCUUGGUGCAGUUGAGUUCCUUAGCAAACCACUCUCUGAGGACAAACUCAGAAAUAUCUGGCAGCAUGUGGUUCAUAAGGUCUGUAAAUCUUAAUGACAAGCCGACAAUACAUUGGCAUUUACUAUUAAGAGUAAAUUUUGUCUUAGUUUUCCAAAAAAAAUAGUGUUACCAGUUAGGGCCUUAAAAGUUUUUUGUCCUUCAAAGAUUUAAAGCAUCACCUGCACCACAUACGUCCUUCCAAUGACUUAUCUCACCAAUAAAGUCCUUUAAUAUUACAUCUUUCAAGGACUUAAUUGGUGACGCCAAAUUUUUGGAGGACCUGACUGCUGACAGCCUGACACCAUUGUGUUUGGACUUUGUAGCACUAAGUUGCCUGUUUAUUCUAAUAUGACAUGAGCUAUAUAGUUUCUAAUGUAACCAUGUUUGAACCUAAACCUGUCGAAACUACGUGUGGUAAUUUGAGUGCUGAAAGUACUUCAUUACAAAGGGAACCCAAGAAGACUCUGCUUAAGGAGGAAGAGGACUUUGCGAAUCGUUCUAAGGGUGAGAGUGAGAAUGUUGAAAGUGUUCUUUAAUAUGUCAAUAUUCCCAAUAUUUUGCAUUUUCAUGCUUGGAAUUAAUGAAGAAAUUACAUGGAUUUUAAACAUUUUCACAUUCCACAUUCAUUAGCUGAUUAAAGGAAAUUUUAUAAUGGAAUUAUCAAAUCUUCUUUAAAGAGCACUGAUCCAAUCAUCACUUUUCAUAUCAUCAGUUUUAAAUAGAAUGUGUUCUCUAGUUAUGGAAAAAUUCAUUGAGAUGUUGUGAUCAAAGUAGAAAUGUAUGAUCCACAUACAAAUAACUACUGAAUUUGAAUAGUUUUUUGUAUGCCAUAAAUACUUAGUUUGUAAUAUAUGUUAUCUGCCAUUUUUUAUUUUCUAAAUACAGUUUUAGUACUUGAUUUUUGUCUCAGGUAGACUGGACACCAGAGAUGCACAAAAUACUUGUGAAGGUAUUGGGACAACUUGGCAUCGAUCAAGAAUAUGUGAUCUGCUAUUCCUUCAAGAAUAUUGGAACUAAUGAAAGUAGAAGGCUUGACAAGGCAUAAUGUAGCAAGCCACCGUCAGGUCAUUAUGUACCUUUGCUAUUGCCAUAACUAGAAGGCUUAAAUAUCACAUGUGUCACACUCUGUGCCACAUCCUUUGCCGAAGUGUGGGAUUGAUUAACAAGGAUGCUGUUUUUGGGAUUGCUCUGGAGGUAAUUAGUUUCUUCUGCUUUUAAUUCCUUUGCUAUUGCCAUAACUGCUUGUGGAUCUUUGUGUGUAUCUUAUUGUUGUCCUAUUUUACUCUUUUCAGCAAUUCUGUCUUGUUGGAAGUUGAUAGGCGUAGGCGACAUGUGAUAUUGACAUUGAUAUUUGCAUAGUUUAGUAGAUAUGGUUUAUUAGACAGUUUUAGGACUAGGGUUUAGGAGUCAGGCUGUGGCUCUUCUAUACCUAUUCCAGGCUUUGCGAACUCUAUGCCCUCUUCUGUUGACUUAACAAAUGGUCCAGGUACGACUUACUCAGUUGUGCCUUUGACUUAAUUUUUUGAUUUACUUUUUAUUUUAUUUACGUUUUGUUAGAUUCUAUAUGUCUUCUAGACUAGAAAACUGAAUACUAAUGGUCCAAAGAUACAGUACAAACAGCUUGCAUUUUGUUUUACCUGAGUCAUUCCAACUUUUGUUGAGUGUUUGUCCAGCUUUGUAUUCAGCAACGUGGUAGUUCCGACUAUGUUUUUGUAUCCUAUAUCAACUCAGUACAUGAAUGGUUUUCUGGAUCUUUACACAAAAUAGCUUUUCAGCCAAAAUAGCAUUUAUGAUAGAGCAUUUUAGCGAUUCAUGUAGGCAUGUUGUUGAUUUUACCUGAUGGGAUUAAUGCUUAAUUAUUAUUGUUGUAUAUUCUGUAACAACACACCUAUUUUUAUAGGCUUGACAUUCUGUUAAAAAUCAUCAUGUAAAUGCAUUCAUGCCUUCUUGAACCGGCUUUCCAGCAUGGUCAUGGAAUGAAAUUGUAUGAAAAUGAUUUGAUUCCAGUAUGUUAAAUGUAUCAAAAUAUCAAUCAAUUCCUUCAUGAAAUGCCUUACUUCUCUUGUCAAUGAACUAGAAUGGGGUGUGUUUGGAUCUCUGCUUCGUACCCACUCUUGAAGUGUAAAUACGAUGUUUGUAUGGUUUGAACUUUGAAAAUAUUCUGUAUAUAUAGAAGGAAAUAUUCUAUUAUGGCCAAUCCUCAAGGAUUCUGACAAUAUCUCAUGAAUGGUUACAUCUGAUUGUAACUGCAUAUCCUUUUGCAGUCUUUUUGGCCUCAUCUAUUUUUAUGGUUAUUAACAUUUCUAUCUUGUGAAAAAGAAAUAUUUUCUUUGUAUAUUAUCUCACGUUUUAACAUCUAGCACUAAGUAACUUCUAUUAGAUGCAUGCUAGACUUUCUCAAAUCUCAGAUUCUGAAACAGAAUUUUGCAGAACAUGACCAAAAAAAAGUCAUAUCAGCAAUUCAAUUGCCUUAGUAUUAAUUUUGUUCAUCACUUACCUACAUAUAUGCGGUUAUUGUUGUGUAUUUUUAGAUUUCGAUAAAUUUGUAUGAACAGUUAUUUCAGAAAGUUUCUUUUUUCAAGGGAUGUUCUUCACGAUUUAAUAAGCAGAUUGUAAGUCAUUCUUUAAAUGUUAAGUUUUCAUGAGAUCUGAUAAUCUUUUAUAACCUUCAAUACUGAACUUUUCACUUUGUUAUUCUCAUGAUAUACUACUCAAUUUGUUAUUCUCAUGAUAAACUACUCAAUUGGAUCCACUUAACUAUCAUUCCUUUUAUGAAAUUGUAAUACCAGCAGUGCAAUGACUACUGAACCACUUCAAAUCCCAUAAUAUAUAUUUUUUACCAGAAAUGUCUAUUUGAAAACCAAUGUCCAGGAGAAUUGGUUAUGAAGUGAGGAGGUGUAGCAGAUCAACUUUAUUUGUUGCCAUCCCUUAUUAGGGGUUCCAUUGUAAGUCACUUGCUAUCUGAAAACUAAGGUAUGUAGGAUGUGAGGCUGACACUCAAAGUUUCCGUUUUUGACUUGUUAGUUUCCAUUAUCUGUUUGUUUGUUCUUCACUUUCUUUUUGAUUGAUUUUAUCCAUCAUUUUCACAUUCUUUCAAUCUUCUGAUCUCUGAUUUGGUUUGUGAUUUUUUAUUUUAUUUUACGAAUCGAUCUUCUUCUUUAAGUUUAGAUCGCUUCUCAUUAACAUUUCUGAACUCCUCUUCUUUCUUGUUUAAGUUUUAGUUUUAUGCAUUGUAAUAUUGUUUUUAUCUUCCUUCCUUUAUUUAUUAUAAUUCUCGUUUGAAUAGGAUUUGCCUUUUAUAUCUAUAGGGAAUAGAGAGCUUCUUUUUGUUUUCCUCUUGGAAGGAUGGCUUGAUUGCACCUUUAAGCAUACAAAAAGUUCAAAAACACUAAAAACCUCAUGAAAUCUGAAUUUCGAACAAUGAAAACUAAGGGGAAUGAAAGAAAUGAAGGGACUAAUAUACUUCCAUCGGGCUAGGGUGUCUUGAUCCCUCCAAAUAGGAUUGCUUUACGCAUCGUGGCCGAGAACUCUAAUACUCACUUUUCCUAUCACACCUCCCCUCUUUGAAAGGAAUAGAAGGCCUUGUGGUCUCUCAGAUUUGUAUAAAAAUCACACAUCUAAAAAAUAUGUGCCGAAAGAUUAAGAAAACUGGAAAUAAAUAAAUAGAUAAUGGAAAGAAAAAAGUAAUGAAAUAAAAGGGAGACAGCAGCCGCAAGAGAUGAAAUAAAUAAAUAAAUAGAUAAAGGAAUGUCAAAAUGGUUUCAAAGAACACUACAAAGGAUGAGAGAGGACCACAAGGGAUGAAAAAACCCACAUAUGGACAGAAUUAAGAUUGCAAAUCCAAGAGAGGCUCCUAGUGGAAUUUUUCUUCUAAGUCAGAAGCGGUUCAUAUUUUCUUAGUAUUUCAAUUAUGUAGCAGAUUCAUAAAAAGAGUGUUGUAAAUCAUUUUGAAGCAGUGUAGAGCUGCAACUUGUUACAAUGGUCAACCAUGUAAAUGAGGAAUACAUAAUUUGAAUGAUGUGAAUAUUGGAAAUUAUGAACUCUUCUUUUUUACCUUCAUUUUUCUGUCAUUUUCUUUCCGGGCUUUUCUUCCUCCGUUUUGCAAUUCAGUAUUUAUUUUCAAUCAUGUUCUGACCAAUUAUCAUAUAUCAUGGUAUAGGCACUAGAGCAGGUGCUUAUGGAGAUUCCUGGUCUUCUGUUUUUCUCUACUUAUACAUUGCUUGUCUUGUUCUGGGUGAGAUAUAUCACUGGGUAUAUUUACCUUCUUUUUGGAGAAUUGCACAACAGUUUGUUGUAAAUUAUAUUCUGUUCAUGCAAUCAUGCAUCUCGAAUGUUAUUUGAGACAAGAAGUGAACAAACAAAUAAGCCUGCUUAUUUUAUUGUCAACAGAUUUAUUUACUUCGCACAGGCAAGCAUACAAAUCUUAUCUCCCUGUAACCAUUCUAAUACUUAAAAUAAGAAGUGUUCACAUAGGUUUAUUUAAUGUAAAAAUAUCUUGUUUUUUCAUCUUCUCACCCUGAUAACAAUAGGCUAUCAUCUGGAUUUACAUGAGCGUAAGCAGAGCUGCCACUGGUGUAGAAGCUUCUAAACUCUUCCUUGCAGGUUAUUGCUGUCAUCAUCAUUUGAUUUGAUGACCUUUUAAUGUUCAAAAGUUAUUUUUCAUUUUUCCUACAUUCCAUGUGGAUUUCAUACUUACCACACAAAAUUCUCAUGUAUAGUUGUGAACGUUCUUCAAAUGUUCUUUUGCAGCUAUUUCAUUCAUUGCUUCUCUUGGUUUCUUGUUAUACAGUGGAAGGUAAACUGUUGUCUUUCUGAUGGCACCAUUCUUACUAUGUCAUCAAAGAUAACGUUCACAAAAUGAUGUUGGUUGUUUAUCUUGUUGAUGCACUUCCCCAUUGAAUUCAGAGGUCGUCAAAAGAAGCUAUAUGAGGUUCUAUCUAAGUAUGAGUUGCUUCAUGUUUUUCAACCUAUGAAAAAAAGUAUAUCCGUAUAAUAUAAUGUUCAGGCCAUGCUGCAAGAGUCAACGGAAAAAUUGGAGGACGAUGUUGAUUAAAAAAUUCUGCUAAAACUUAUUGGUCGCUAACUUUUGACCUUGGCAGGUUGGCUCAGUGACAAGUAUUUUCUGUGCUGGUUUCUUGAUAAUAUGUGUUAUGGUGAGUUGCUUCCAGUUUACAAACAUUGUAUAUAUUUGAUGUUGUUGUUUUCUGACAAGUACUUCAUUAACACCUUUAAUGUAGCUUGCACUUUCCGCAUUUGAUUAGAAUGUAAAUCUUGAUGUCUUAGAUCAUCCCAUUUUUUAUCUAGUCUAUUAUUUGGUAAGUUUCAAUAUAAUACAAAUUUCUCUUGGCCAGCCUCUGGUGGAAUAGGGCAUCAUGCUUAGCUACAUGGUGUGACUGCACACUAAAAAUGCACUCCUACGACACAUAGGACCCCCUUGAAAAUAUGAUUUGAUUUACUGGAAAGCUUUAUAGUUUAGGGAAAAAUAAAAAUUUGCAGCCAUCUUUCAUGGUCAGCCGAUGAAUGUGUUUGUUGCCUUAUUCCUGAAACCCACUCUUCUUUCUCCAAUAUUGUGGUGAGAAUGUUCUUUUUGGGCAAGUUACAUAGCCCUUUUUAAUGGAAAAUAUCACAUGUGUCACUGACACUCUGUGCCACAUCCUUUGCCGAAGUGUGGGAUUGAUUAACAAGGAUGCUGUUUUUGGGAUUGCUCUGGAGGUAAUUAGUUUCUUCUGCUUUUAAUUCCUUUGCUAUUGCCAUAACUGCUUGUGGAUCUUUGUGUGUAUCUUAUUGUUGUCCGGUUUUACUAAUUUCAGAAAUUUUGUCUUGUUGGAAGUUGAUAGGCAUAGGCGAUAAUAAGUGAUAUCGAUAUUGAAAUUUGCUUAGUUUAUUAUGAUGCUGUUUUAGUUGUUCUAUUCAUUAGGCGUGACAGUUUUAUAGAUAUGGUUUAUUAGAUAGACAGUUCAAGGCUUUGCGAACUAUAUGCCCUCUUAUGUUGACUUAACAAAUGGUCCAAAUACGACUUAUUCAAUUGUGCCUUUGACUUCAAAUUUUAUUUACUUUUUAUUUUAUUUACAUUUUGUUAGAUUCUAUAUGUCUUCUAGACUAGAAUACAGUACAAAGCUCACAUUUUGUUUUACCUAUGAGUCAUUCCAACUUUUGUUGAGUGUUUGCCCAGCCAUGUAUUCAGCAACAUGGUACUCCAACUGUGUUUUUGUAUCCUAUAUCAACCAAGUACAUGAACGGUUUUCUGGAUCUUUACACAAAAUAGCUUUGCAGCCAAAACUUAUCUCUGCAGCAUUUUACAUAUAAUAUAUCCUAAAAUACUAGAUAAGCUAAUUCAGACAUGUAUUAAAUAAUAUUUUGGGUCGUCUGGAUUUUUGUUGCAUUAAGUAUUGCUUUCUUAAUUGAAGCUAGAUAUUUGGAGCACUCGAAUUGAAAAGUAGCUCGAGCCUCUCAUUCUUUGUACGUGGCAUUUAUGUCUGGGGAAGGAAUCUGAAAAGAAUGAUAGUGUGUCAUUGAAGGAGCAACUUGUUUUCCAUUAUAUACAAAUAUCCUUGGUGGUAUUUGAUUCUACUUGUUAUCUUAAUCCGAAGUCUGAGACUUAUAUUUCGAAUACAUAUUCAUUCUUUUAUGCAAUUUAACUAUAGGGAUAUCCUUGAAUUACUCCCUCUGAGGGUAUGACUUCUGGGGUCGUGGGAAUUGUCCCACAUCUUCCUGUUGGAUGCCUUGCCACUUUUUAUUGUACUCAGAGCUUGGAAAUGAAUACUCUCCAGUACUGGAGAGACAGGUUAUUGCCUUCAUUUUGCAUUUAAAGGAAAGAGUAUCAUGUACUUCCCUCUCCGGUACUGGAGAGGAUCCUGACCGUAAUAUUGUUUCUUAACUUCAUUUUGCAAGCCUCUUAUUUACUUUUUAGGCCUUGCCCGUCCUGAUGAUACUGUUGGCACAGAUGAUUCCUAUGUUGCCACAAUAUGCACAAAACAUGGUUCUUAAUGAGUUAUAUUCACAAGUGGCUGAUUAUGAUGGUGUUGUUCGUAAACUGGCAUUAAAUUCAUGGUUGCGGUCAUUAUCUCACCUCUGUAAAACAGCUACCCACCAAAAUGCAGCCUCGAAAAAAACUAAAACUAAACAUAAUUUGACUUUAGCCAGUAUUGCAGACCCAUUAAACAGUGGUAGACUAACUUCACUACUUCAAAAGAAUUAAGUUCAUGAAUUUUGAUUUUUGGUGUACUAUAUCCAGUUUUAUACUUUCUGGUGUCCUUAAUGCCCUUGUUACUGCAUGUUAUAUAUUUUGAGUCAAUUCUUCACUUGUGUUUAUCUAAUCUAUUAUCCAGCAUGACUUUCUUUUUUUGUUACUGCGCCUAUCAGUUUAUUCUUAAUUUUUAAUUUUCCUUUGGUUUAAUUCUCCAAGGAGAGGGUGUGUCUCAAUGCAAUGGUAAGGUUGAUUCCUUGUGAAUUGGAGGUCAUGAAUUCAAAUCGUGAAAACUACCUCUCCACUGGCAGCUGCCUCUGAUUCUCCAUGAAUAUUUUCCUUCUUAUUAAACCAAUUAACAUUAGUUUGACUUACUUCCACUUUCAACUUCCUUUAUUAACAUAAAGGAAAAUGAAGAUAGGGAAAACGGAGAACAUGUUUACAUAACUGCAUAUUUAAAGUGCAUUAUACCCAUUCCAGAAAGCAGCUGCGCUAAACCUUUUGACCUAGAAGCUGAACUUCCAAUACCUGGCAUUGUUUCAACAUCACUUAGUUCAGAAAGGCAUAUUGAUUUGCAAAGCAAGAGUGAUAGUAGCACACUCUUCAUUGGGGGUGAUAUAUAAUCUUCUGACCCCCUUAAAAAGCAGGAGGUGAAUGACAUUUAUUUCCUUGUUGCAGCAUAAUUGAUUAGAAACUGAAAAAAUGGGGGUGAUAUAUAAUCUUCAGAUUGAUUCUGCUGUAGCUGUUGUAUAAUAUAACAAACUAUGUCUAUGAAAAUUGAACAGUUGUGCAAAUUAGUUUUGGACUACCAAUAGGAGACAUUAAUACUUAGCAUAAUGUCGGAAUUGAAGUCCCCCAUUGGUUCAAAUGAAGAAGAGUACAUAUAUGAGAAGACCAAUUGACUCAUUGUUUUGAAGUUUUGGUUCAUUAUGUGGUAAUGCAUUACAAAUAUAUAGUUGUUUUAUUCUUUUCUUUUUUUGACAUGAAAAUUUGUCUAAUAUAACAAACUAUGUCUAUGAAAAUUGAACAGUUGUGCAAAUUAGUUUUGGACUACCAAUUUAUGAGUCCUUGAAACUCUUUUGUGCUGCUAUUUCAAAUCCUCUGUAGCUAGUAGAGUUUUCAAUGCAUAUACAAUCCUUUAUAGUUAGAAGUCAAUACACUAUCUACUCCUAUAACCUUAUCUUUGUUUUAGUACUUGGUAGUUGGUAUUGAGGGUGAAAUGCCUUGACUCUAAUGUUUAUUGGUCAACCAUGUGUUUGUUCAGUUCUACCUAUUUUGCCUUAUUUAUAUACACAGGCCACAAAUUUUUGUCAGAGAAAUAAUCUUCUGACCCCCUUAAAAAGCAGGAGGUGAAUGACAUUUAUUUCCUUGUUGCAGCAUAAUUGAUUAGAAACUGAAAAAAUGGGGGUGAUAUAUAAUCUUCAGAUUGAUUCUGCUGUAGCUGUUGUAUAAUAUAACAAACUAUGUCUAUGAAAAUUGAACAGUUGUGCAAAUUAGUUUUGGACUACCAAUNNNNNNNNNNNNNNNNNNNNNNNNNNNNNNNNNNNNNNNNNNNNNNNNNNNNNNNNNNNNNNNNNNNNNNNNNNNNNNNNNNNNNNNNNNNNNNNNNNNNAUUGGUAUGCUAUUGGCAAGUGACACUAAUUUGGGAACAGUUUCAACAAUAUGGUAAAGUUGAGAUUUGGAUGCUCAAGUUCAAGGAUGCUCUGGAGGUAUUUAGUUUCUAUUAGCAUAACUGCUUGCAGAUCUUUGCAUUUAUAUUAUUGUUAGAAAUCUGUCUUGUUGGAAGAUGAUAGAUAUUAUUGUUAAAACUUAAAACCACACUCAAGUCACUGGGGCUUAUGUGAUUGAUCAGAGGGAUAUGACACACUCAAGUCAAAACACAAUAACCCAUUUUUGAGUGUCAAUCUUCAUCAACAUUUUCCAUCUGCAUAAUAAAAUGAGUAUGCCAUGAUGUCACACAUGUGAAUUUUGUGAAAAUCUGAUGUUUGUAUAGCGUGUGGUUUAUGCCAAUUUUCCUUCAGUUGUAAUUUGUUUGUUUUAAUAUUAGGUACAACUGAUGCAAAUUCAAAUGAGGAUACCUGAAUAUGGGUGGACAACACGGAAGGUUUUUCACUUGAUGAAUUUUGUUGUCAAUGGAUGUAAGCUUUUUUUUAAUCUUCUAUGAAAAGCUUUUUUAGCUUAUAUUUUUUAGGAUUACCGAAGCCUUAGUACAUAUGCAAUGAGGGCUGUCAUUUUCGGUUAUACAAUAGCGUGUUCACAAUUAAAUCAAAGGUAUUUUCCUAUUCUGGGUUAUUGGCAUUGAUAGACACUUGUUCCUCAGCCUUUAACUUCAAUAGGGAAUAGAGAUCUUUUUGUUUUCCUCCUGGAAGGAUGGCUUGAUUGCACCUUCGAUGCAUAGAAAAAGUUCAAAAUACUUCAAUAGGGAAUAUAAGAAAUGAAGGGACUAAUAUACUUCCAUCGGGCUAGGGUGUCUUGAUCCCUCCAAAUAGGAUUGCUUUACGCAUCGUGGCCGAGAAUUCCAAUACUCACUUUUCCUAUUACACCUCCCCUAUUAUAGCAGUGUCCUCUUGAAAUUAAAAGGAUGAUAUACUCUAAUCUUCUCCCAAUCUUUUGUUUUUAUUGAGAUAAAACAUCCAAAUUUGUAAGUAAAGUCUAGCUUAACAAUUGCAGGCACUUUGGAUAAUUUUGUAGCAGAUUCUGCAUCUAUUGCUUCUAGCUUCUAAUAUCAUGCUGAGUUCAAGACAUCCUUUUCUCUAGAGAAGUUUGAGCUCGGUAAGGCGUACCACUGCACAAAGUGUCUGUGAUUCACUCAUCAUAAAUUGGAAUGCAACAUAUGACUAUUAUGAGAAGAUUAAUGUUAAGCAAGCUUAUUAUAUGUCUAUGGAGUAUCUGUAGGUUCUUUUUUUUUUGUUUUCUUUAUUUUAUUUAGAUUUCUUCAUUUUUAUUUCUUUCUUUAUUUUUUAAUUCUAGCUUUUGGUAUUGUACAGGGCAGGGCAUUGCCAAAUGCAAUUGGUAAUUUACAACUCUCAGGUUCUUAUGCCGAGGCUCUCAGAAAGCUGGGUAACAAUUUAGAGGAUGUGGCUAAUCAGGUCUAACCAUGUUAUGGGCUUAUGGUUUUCCAUUAUUGCAUUACUUUCUUCAUUUUUAUUUCUUUCUUUAUUUUUUGGUAAUUUACAUUUUGUUAGAUUCUAUAUGUCUUCUAGACUAGAAUACAGUACAAACAGCUCGCAUUUUGUUUUACCUAUGAGCCAUUCCAACUUUUGUUGAGUGUUUUCCCAGCCUUGUAUUCAGCAACAUGGUAAUUCCAGCUAUGUUUUUGUAUCCUAUAUCAACUAGAUACAUGAAUGGUUUUCUGCUGGAAGACUCAUAUAGUUUAGCCAAUGCAAAGCCCCACUGAUUGUGGUUGGAAUAUUCUCACCAUCAUUUGUACCUCAUUCUUCAACCCCUAGAAAAAUAGCUGAAGGUAUAUUCUGCUGGAAGGUCCAAUCUAGUAAUGAUUGCAUCAAACUCCUCAUGAUACUCACUAAUUGAUCCAUUCUACCUCAAUUGCAUUAACUCAGCCAUUGAGAUCAUCACGGACUUCACUAAACCUUUCCAUGAUUACCUUCGUAUACUCCCCCAACCAGGCAAUGAAUUCCAUAGUGACUUCACAUACGCAGGAUGUUAUUUUAAUGUCUUCCCUUCAAAAUGCAUAAUAACCAACUUGAUUUUAAAUUCUUCAGAAGUAUCAUCAAUCAUAAAGUAUGUCUCACAAUGGUAAAGCGCGCUUCUUUUAUGUUAUCCCCACUAAAUCUAGGAAAAUCGAUUUUUGAUAACCUAGUGUGGCAAGAAAGGAAAAAAAUUAUCUUGCCUAUUUUCUCGUUCUGAUCUUCAUGUCGAACUUUCCUCCUCCUCGUGCUUCUGGAACAAUUCUUCAACAGAAUUCUUUAAAAACUCUCCUAAAGUUCGUUGCAAAGAACCUGUCAACUCAACCAACUUCAAUUCCAACCUUUCAGGGAUGCGAUUUUCAAGCCUUUCCUCCAUCUCCCUUGUCGCUGCUUGCAUAUGUGUAGCUUCUGCCAUGAAUCCUCCUAGGAAAAAAAUUUGCUCUAGAUAUCAAUUGUUAUGGAUGUAGGUGAAUUAGGGAAUUCUAACACGAAUUCGGAAAUUCUAGGAACAAGAAGUAGAAAUUCUUAUGGAAAAGAAGAAGAAUUUGAACUAUCUUAUUGGUAAUGAUUGAAGCACAGACCAGAAUUCCAGCUCAAAAUUCUCAAAUUCCAUCUCAUGAGAGCACAGAACAGAAUGAAGCAAGUGGCUGAUAGGCAUAGAAGUGAUAGAGAAUUUCAUAUUGGAGAUUUUCUAUAAGAAUUUCUACUUGUUCUUGGAAUUGCCGAAUUCGUGUUAGAAUUCCUCAAUUCACCUACAUCCAUAACAAUUGGUAUCUAGAGCAAAAAAAAAAUCUUGGGAGGAUUCAUGGCAGAAGUUACACAUGUGCAAGCAGCGGCAAGGGAGGUGGAGGAACGACUUGAAAAUUGUAUCUCUGAAAGGUUGAAGUUGGUUGAGUUGGCUGGUUAUUUACAAAGAACUUUAGGAGAGUCUUUAAAGAAUUCUGUUAAAGAAUUAUUCUAUAAGCACAGGGAGGAGGAAAGUUCGACAUGGAGAUCAAAGCAUUACCAAUCAGAACGGGGAAAUAGGCAAGAGAAAUCUUUUUCUUGGCACACUAGGUUAUCAAAAAUUGAUUUUCUUAAAUUUAGUGGGGAUAAUGUAAAAGAAUGAUUUUACCAAUGUGAGACAUACUUUAUGAUUGAUGAUACUCAUGAAGAAUUUAAAGUCAAGUUGGCUAUUAUUCAUUUUGAAGGGAAUGACAUCAUGCGUAUGUGAAGUCACUGUGGAAUUCAUUGCCUGGUUAGGGGAGUAUGCGAAGGUAAUCAUGGAAAGGUUUGGUGAAGUCUGUGAUGAUCCUAUGGCUGAGUUGAAGCAGAAGCAGUCAAUUAGCAAGUAUCAUGAAGAGUUUGAUGCAAUCAUUACUAGAUUGAAUCUUCCAACAAAAUAUACCUUGAGUUGUUUUGUAGGGAGUUGAAGAAUGAGGUGCAAAUGAUGGUGAGGAUGUUCUAACCACAAUCAGUGAGGAAGACUUUUGCAUUGGCUAAAUUAUAUGAGUACUUUCUAUAGUACUACUGCAAGUUGGGUUGACAUUAAAAGUCAAACCAUCAAUGACACAAAGGUCAUUGUUGGGACUUAGCCAUUGUUGGGACUUAGCCAUUGUUGGGACUUAAACCAAGUACAAGUACAGAACCAGAGCAGGCAAAACCAAAAACAAGGUUUGCAAGGAACUUAUCUCCAACUUUUAUGAAUGAGAGAAGGACUAAAGGGUUAUGCUACUUUUGUGAUGAACCUUAUUCACCAGAGCAUGGGUUAUCACAUAAGAAAUUGCAAAUCCACCUAUUGGAAGUGGAUGAUGCACAUGAUGAAGGUCAGGGAUUGAUCAGUGUCAAUGAGGAGGUAAAAGAGCAAUUUGAUUAGCCUUAGAUUUCGGUCAGUGCCUUAAGUGGAGUCCACAUUUCAGAACUAUGAGAAUCACAGAGAAAUAUCACAAGAAGCCAUUGCAUAUACUGAUUGACAGUGGUAGUACUCACAAUUUCUUGGAUAUCAACAUGGCCAAACAGAUGGGAUGCAAGAUUGAUGACUUACAACCUUUGAUGGUCACAGUGGCAGAUGGAACCAAGGUGCAGAUUUCUCAUGUGGUGAGGCACUUUAGUUGGAUCAUACAAAACACUGCAUUCACCUUGGAUGUUAUGCUAAUUCCAUUAGGAUGUUGCAUGUGGUUUUAGGGGUCGAAUGGUUGGUUACAUUGGGGGAUAUCACAUAGAAUUUUGACAAAUUAUCUAUGGAAUUUUCUGUGCAAGGUAGAAGGCAUGUCCUAAGGGGUUCUUCUCAAUUGGGGUGUAAGAGUGUAAAACAUCAGCAUAUGGAGAAGGUCGUGAAGGGUGUGCAAUUAUCAAUGAUCCAAGUUUGUGCUGAAGAGGGGUUGAUAAUUCACUCUUUGACUACUCAUGCGGGGCAACAAGAGAUUCAUGGGUCAAUUGCUGAUCUUCUCAAGCAAUAUGCAGAUUUAUUCCUCAUCCCUACUCUGUUAUCUCCUAGGAGAGAAGGAUAUGAUCAUCGAAUUCCAUUGAUGAAGCUCAGUGACCCUGUGAACAAGAGACCAUAUAGGUAUGCAAGACAACAGAAGGAUGUUAUUGAUAAAAUAGUACAGGGAAUGUUAGAAGCAGGAUGAUACAGAGUAGUAGCAGUCCCUAUGCUAGCCCUGUUAACUUGGUGGGCAAGAAUGAUAGUUCAUGGAGGUUAUGUGUUGACUAUAGGGAACUGAACAAGGGCACUAUCAAGGAUAGACUUCCUAUCCCUUUAGUAGAGGAUUUGAUGGAUAAGCUUCAUGGAUCUACUGUAUUCUCAAAGAUUGACUUAAGGGCAGGUUACCAUCAGGUUAGAAUGGACCCUUUGGAUGUACACAAAAUUGCUUUCAAAACUCAUAGUGGUCAUUAUGAAUAUUUGGUAAUGCCCUUUGGCCUUAUUAAUGUCCCUGUUACUUUUCAAACUUUAAUGAAUUCAGUGUUUAAGGAGUUUUUGUGGAAAUUCCUUUUGGUAUUUUUUGAUGACAUACUCAUCUACAGCCAUGAUUUGAAAGAACAUCUUGUCCAUUUGGAAAAGGUCUUAGCUGCUAUGAGGCAUCACAGUUUGUUUGCUAAGCAAUCUAAGUGUUUUUUGGGGUCUCGAGAGUAGAGUGCUUAGAGCAUUUUAUUUCAGCAGAAGGAGUAUCUACUGAUCCUACUAAGAUCAAAGCAGUGUAGGAUUGGCCAAUGCCUACUACUAUAAAGCAACUGAGGGGGUUCUUGGGUUUGGCUGGAUACUACAGAAGAUAUGUGAGGAAUUAUGGGAUAGUGGCAAGACCAUUAACUAAUAUGCUCAAGAAAGAAGGGUUCAUAUGGUAUAUUUCUGUCAGGGUGCAUUCCAAGAGUUAAAACAGUUACUCUGCUCUGCACCAGUUUUAGCAUUACUUGAUUUUUCAGUGGGAUUCAUUGUAGAAGUGGAUGCCUCACGCCAUGGAAUAGGUAUUGUCUUGAUGCAAGUACAUCAUCCAAUUGCCUUCAUCAGUAGGUUAUUGAAUCAGCAGCAACAAUCCUUCUCCACUUAUGAAAAAUAAGUCAUAGUUGUAGUGUUUGCAGUGCAAAAAUGGUGACAUUACUUAAUAGGCAUUUCAUCAUCAAGACUGAUCAUAGGAGUUUGAAGUAUAUGUUAGACCAAAGGCUCAGAACUGUUUUCCAAUAGAAAUGGUUGAUUAAGCUAAUGGAAUUUGAUUUCACAAUUGAGUUCAAACAGGGGAAAGAAAAUGUGGUUGCUGAUGCAUUAUCCAGAAGGGAGGAAGGGGAAUAUUUGGCUUUGGUGAUUCAUGAUAUUCACUCUAAUGUAUUGGACAGGAUCACAUCCACUUGGGCAUCUGAUCCAGGCCUUGCUAUGAUCAUAUCUCAUCAGCAAUUGGACUCAACUUCACACAAACAUUAUACUUGAACUGGUGGUGAAUUAAGAAGGAAAGGGAAGCUAGUAGUUGGCCAGGAUCUAGUACUCAGAUAAGAGUUACUUCAAUGGUUCCACAAUGCUGUUGCAGGGGGUCAUUAUGGCAGGAAUGCUACAACUAAAAGAGUUAAAUCCAUCUUGCAUGGAAGAGAUUGAACAAGGAUAUCAAGCAGUUCAUUCAACAAUGCCAAGUAUGCCAACAAUGCAAGUAUGACACAUUUGCUACUCCUGGUUUCUUGUAACCCUUGCCCAUUCCUGGUCAUGUUUGGUAACACAUUACUAUGAAUUUCAUAGAGGGUCUUCCUAAUUCACACGGUAAGCAGGUUAUCUUUGUCGUGGUGGAUAGGCUUAGUAAAGCUGCUCAUUUCAUGCUUUUAUCACAUCCUUAUACUGCUGGAAUAGUGGCUCAAUCCUUUAUGGACAAUGUAUUCAAAUUACAUGGGUUCCCUGACUCCAUAACAAGUGAUAGGGACCCCGUUUUCAUUAGCCAUUUUUGGCAAGAGUUGAUAGUUUUCCAAGGUGUUCAAUUAAACCUAUCUAAAACUUACCAUCCUCAAACUGAUGGACAGACUGAGGUCGUGAAUAGAUGCUUGGAAACUUACUUAAGGUGCAUGUGUACAGAUUCUCCACAAUAGUGAUCUAAAUGGUUACCUUUGGCUGAGUGGUGGUACAAUACCACCUUCCAUACUUCUAUUCAAGCCACUCCAUAUGAGAUAGUUUAUGGACAACCAGUUUACCUUCCUUAUUUACCAGGGGAGACUAAGGUACAGUUGUUUGAUAGAAGUUUAGUCAAAAGAGAGGAAAUGCUCAAAAUUCUCAAAUUUCAUCUCAUGAGAACACAAAACAGAAUGAAGCAAGUGGCUGAUAGGCAUAGAAGUGAUAGAGAAUUUCAUAUUAGAGACAAGGUUUAUGUUAAGCUUCAAUCAUAUAGGCAGAUUUCAGUGGCUGCAAGGGGAAAUGAAAAACUAUUUCCUAAGCAUUUUGGAUGCUUUGAAGUGUUAAGCAAGAUAGGAGUUGUGGCCUACAAAUUGCAACUACCAAUUCAUUCGAAAGUGCAUAAUGUAUUCCAUGUCUCUCAAUUGAAGAAGCAUAUUGGCCAAGAAAUUGUUGUUGCAUCUAUCCCUGCAACCAUAGAAGUCACAAGAGAUAGGGAACCUGAAGCCAUUUUGGACAGGGCCACCAUGAAGCGACAAGGUAGGGCUGUCACAAAAGUCCUGGUCCAGUGGAAGCAUCAUCUACCUGAAGAUACUACAUGGGAGUUUUAUUUUGAUCUAUGUAAACAAUUUCCUCAUUUCCAUUCUUGAGGUCAAGAAUAUUUCUAGGUAUAGGCAAUGUUAGGGGUAUUCUUGUAAGGGUAGCAUUAUUGUAAGGUAGAAGGGUCAUUGUACUUAGUUAGUUGAGAAGGAAAUUGGAGGAAAAGUUAGUUACUUGGGUUGGUUUGUAUAAGUAACUUGCUCAGCAAGUUACUGAUUUAUUCAUUGACAAUUUCUACAAAAUACAAUCUUCUUUUUGCAAUUCUUGAAUUCAAUCAAUACGAUAGUUCAAAUUCUUCUUCUUUUAAAAACAUAAACUAUAUUGUGAGUAAUCAAAACUAUAUAACAUAUCUCAAUAUUUCAUAUCAAAUUGUAUAUCAGUCAUACUAAAAAGUGUCAACUAGUCAUACUAAAAAGUGUCAACUAGUUAAAAAAGUAAUCAUAAAAUAAAAAAUAUUUUUUUUACUACUUAUUGUAAUGUGAUUGGUUUGAAACAUGUAGACGGAUUUUUUUGGAUAUAUGAUGGUUGUUCACGCUUCACAAUCAAUUAUUUUAUUUAGGCGCAAGCUUAUUUUUUCAAUAAAUUUCUCGUCCUAGGUAAUGAAUUCCAUACCUUUAUUUUACAAAUAUGAUUUUAUAAACAAUGUGAGAAAAGAGAAGUGUGGGUUUUCCUCCGUUGUUCUCUGCAUUCCUCCCAAAAUGUGUAAAAGAAAAGCAAGCACAUAAAUAAAUUAUUCUUUGAAGCCCGAAAGUUUUAUUCACUGCAAUACCAUAUUUAGGUAAGUCUUAAGCUUCCAUUUAAAUGUGUCAAAUAUUUACCAUUAAAAAAAUUAUCCUAUUUNUGAUGAUAGGAUGUGGAUGAGGAUGAGGAUGAGGACGAGAAUGUGGAACUGGAAGAGAAUAAGGAAGAGGAUAGGAUAAGGAUGAGGAUGAGGAUGAGGAUGUGGAUAGGAUAUGNNNNNNNNNNNNNNNNNNNNNNNNNNNNNNNNNNNNNNNNNNNNNNNNNNNNNNNNNNNNNNNNNNNNNNNNNNNNNNNNNNNNNNNNNNNNNNNNNNNNAUGAGGACGAGGAUGAGGAUGAGGUUAGGAUGAGGGUGAGAAUGUGGAAGAGGUUGUGGGUAAGGAUGAAGAUAGGAUGAGGAUGAGGAUGACCAAGAGGAUGAGGACGAGGAUGAGGAUAAGGAUAGGAUGAGGAAGUGGAAGAGGAAGAGGAAGAGGAUAGGAUAAAGACAAGAAUGAGGGUGAGGAUGAGGAUAGGAUGAGGAUGAAGAUAGGAGUAGGAAGNNNNNNNNNNNNNNNNNNNNNNNNNNNNNNNNNNNNNNNNNNNNNNNNNNNNNNNNNNNNNNNNNNNNNNNNNNNNNNNNNNNNNNNNNNNNNNNNNNNNAUGAGGAUGAGGAUAGGAUGAGGAUGAGGAUAGGAUGAGGAUGAGAAUGACGAUAAGGAGGUGGAUAGGAUGAGGACGAGGAUAGGAUGAGGAUAAGAUUGAGGAUAUGAUGAGGAUGAGGACGAGAAUGAGAAUGAGGAUAGGAUGAGGAUGAGGAUAGGAUGAGGACGAGCAUGAGGAUACGAUGGGGAUGAGGAUGAGGAUAAGGAGGAGGAUGAGGAUAAGGAGGAGGAUGAGGAAGAGGAUAGGAUGAGGAUGAGGACGAGGAUAGGAUGAGGACGAGAAUGAGGAUGAGGAUAGGAUGAGGACGAGGAUAAGGAUAGGAUGAGGAUGAGGAUAGGAUGAGGAUGAGGAUGUGAAUUAGGAUGAGGAUGAGCAUGAGGAUGAGGAUAGCAUGAGGAUGGGGAUGAGGAUAGGAUGAGGAUAGGAUUAGGAUAGGAUGAGGAUGAGGUUAGGAUGAGGGUGAGAAUGUGGAAGAGGUUGUGGGUAAGGAUGAAGAUAGGAUGAGGAUGAGGAUGACCAAGAGGAUGAGGACGAGGAUGAGGAUAGGAGGAGAUGGAGAAUGAGGAUGAGGAUAAGAUUGGGAUGAGGAUGAGGCUGAGGAAGAGAAUAGGAUGAGGAUGAGGNNNNNNNNNNNNNNNNNNNNNNNNNNNNNNNNNNNNNNNNNNNNNNNNNNNNNNNNNNNNNNNNNNNNNNNNNNNNNNNNNNNNNNNNNNNNNNNNNNNNUAUGGCAGGGAUGCUACAACUAAAAAAGGUAAAUCCAUCUUGCAUGGAAGAGAUUGAACAAGGAUAUCAAGCAGUUCAUUCAACAAUGCCAAGUAUGCCAACAAUGCAAGUAUGACACAUUUGCUACUCCUGGUUUCUUGUAACCCUUGCCCAUUCCUGGUCAUGUUUGGUAACACAUUACUAUGAAUUUCAUAGAGGGUCUUCCUAAUUCACACGGUAAGCAGGUUAUCUUUGUCGUGGUGGAUAGGCUUAGUAAAGCUGCUCAUUUCAUGCUUUUAUCACAUCCUUAUACUGCUGGAAUAGUGGCUCAAUCCUUUAUGGACAAUGUAUUCAAAUUACAUGGGUUCCCUGACUCCAUAACAAGUGAUAGGGACCCCGUUUUCAUUAGCCAUUUUUGGCAAGAGUUGAUAGUUUUCCAAGGUGUUCAAUUAAACCUAUCUAAAACUUACCAUCCUCAAACUGAUGGACAGACUGAGGUCGUGAAUAGAUGCUUGGAAACUUACUUAAGGUGCAUGUGUACAGAUUCUCCACAAUAGUGAUCUAAAUGGUUACCUUUGGCUGAGUGGUGGUACAAUACCACCUUCCAUACUUCUAUUCAAGCCACUCCAUAUGAGAUAGUUUAUGGACAACCAGUUUACCUUCCUUAUUUACCAGGGGAGACUAAGGUACAGUUGUUUGAUAGAAGUUUAGUCAAAAGAGAGGAAAUGCUCAAAAUUCUCAAAUUUCAUCUCAUGAGAACACAAAACAGAAUGAAGCAAGUGGCUGAUAGGCAUAGAAGUGAUAGAGAAUUUCAUAUUAGAGACAAGGUUUAUGUUAAGCUUCAAUCAUAUAGGCAGAUUUCAGUGGCUGCAAGGGGAAAUGAAAAACUAUUUCCUAAGCAUUUUGGAUGCUUUGAAGUGUUAAGCAAGAUAGGAGUUGUGGCCUACAAAUUGCAACUACCAAUUCAUUCGAAAGUGCAUAAUGUAUUCCAUGUCUCUCAAUUGAAGAAGCAUAUUGGCCAAGAAAUUGUUGUUGCAUCUAUCCCUGCAACCAUAGAAGUCACAAGAGAUAGGGAACCUGAAGCCAUUUUGGACAGGGCCACCAUGAAGCGACAAGGUAGGGCUGUCACAAAAGUCCUGGUCCAGUGGAAGCAUCAUCUACCUGAAGAUACUACAUGGGAGUUUUAUUUUGAUCUAUGUAAACAAUUUCCUCAUUUCCAUUCUUGAGGUCAAGAAUAUUUCUAGGUAUAGGCAAUGUUAGGGGUAUUCUUGUAAGGGUAGCAUUAUUGUAAGGUAGAAGGGUCAUUGUACUUAGUUAGUUGAGAAGGAAAUUGGAGGAAAAGUUAGUUACUUGGGUUGGUUUGUAUAAGUAACUUGCUCAGCAAGUUACUGAUUUAUUCAUUGACAAUUUCUACAAAAUACAAUCUUCUUUUUGCAAUUCUUGAAUUCAAUCAAUACGAUAGUUCAAAUUCUUCUUCUUUUAAAAACAUAAACUAUAUUGUGAGUAAUCAAAACUAUAUAACAUAUCUCAAUAUUUCAUAUCAAAUUGUAUAUCAGUCAUACUAAAAAGUGUCAACUAGUCAUACUAAAAAGUGUCAACUAGUUAAAAAAGUAAUCAUAAAAUAAAAAAUAUUUUUUUUACUACUUAUUGUAAUGUGAUUGGUUUGAAACAUGUAGACGGAUUUUUUUGGAUAUAUGAUGGUUGUUCACGCUUCACAAUCAAUUAUUUUAUUUAGGCGCAAGCUUAUUUUUUCAAUAAAUUUCUCGUCCUAGGUAAUGAAUUCCAUACCUUUAUUUUACAAAUAUGAUUUUAUAAACAAUGUGAGAAAAGAGAAGUGUGGGUUUUCCUCCGUUGUUCUCUGCAUUCCUCCCAAAAUGUGUAAAAGAAAAGCAAGCACAUAAAUAAAUUAUUCUUUGAAGCCCGAAAGUUUUAUUCACUGCAAUACCAUAUUUAGGUAAGUCUUAAGCUUCCAUUUAAAUGUGUCAAAUAUUUACCAUUAAAAAAAUUAUCCUAUUUAAUUAAUUUAAGAGGAUCAAAUUUAAUAAUAUUAGACAUGUGACACCUAUCCUUUAAGAGUUUUAUGUGAGUAUUGAUAAAUUUGAGAUAAAUAUAAGGAUUCGUCACCAUUAAUUUAAAAGUAUCAUGUUUAAUCCAUCUAAAAUGUUAAUUCGAUCAAAUUUUAAAUCAUAGCUAUUAACUUACAUGUUGGGAUUCAGAGUAAUUUCUUCUAGUAAGGAUGAGUCUUUGAGACAGAGCUGAGUUAUGCUCAUAAUAAAUGAUAUAAUUUUUAGGAUGUGUUUUCGAGUUAAAUUUUAGAAGAAAAUGAAUGUUAAACGAAAGUUUUAUAGUCUUCUUAUAAAUAUUUUCAUGACUCCCAAGUUUUCUUAUUUUUUUUCUUCUAUUUCAAAAUUCAUCUCGCAAACCUUCUAUUUCUUGUUUCACACCAAUAAUUAACUACUCAUUCCUGAGAGCACAUAUAUUGUCUCACUUUUUGUAUCACUUUAUAUAUCAUCCUCCGUAAAACGGUUACAAAUUUUAUAUGUUUUAUUUAUUUAGGGUUUGUUUGCGAAUUAGUUUUUAGAGGAUAAUAAAAUAAAGAUAAAUGUUUGAGAAUCAUGAAAUAUAUAUGUGAUAACUCACACAUAAUUAACCUCCAAAUUCAAACUAUGUAACACAUACUAUGUUUGUAAGUGUCUGAUUGCAGCAUUCCAUUUUAUUGAUAACAGGUAGACAACUUCACUAACUAUCAGUCUACCACUUCUAACAAAUAUCAAUAUCGGGAAUCAAAUUUUUACAUUUUAAUUAUUCUAGAAUUUAGUGAGACCUUAUAUUACUAGAUCAAUGCCUUCUUGCUAAUAGGAUGUUAAGUACCCUUGGUCCAUCCUUACAAAACUAAGAAUUACUAAAAAAAAGUGCUAAUGAUCCAGUAAUAGAUACUUGUCAUUUUUAUUAGAUUUAGUAUAUAUAUAUAGAGAGAGCUACAAACAAAAUGAACAACGUACCGAGUGAACAAAUAGUGGGAAUCUUCAAUAUUAAUGAUAACCAUAGCUAAAAAAAAUAGAAUGAUUACAAAAUAAUAAUGGAGGAAAAGUUAUUAUUGAGAAAAUAAUACCUUAUGCUAUGAGUACGAUUGUAGUGAUUUUCAUAUUAUUUACUAAUAAUUUAACAAUAUAUUUAUAUAGAGAUAAAUUUCACUAAUUGAUAUAGUUUAAGGGGUAAUUAAUUAGGAAGAAAGAUAUUUUAUUGUGGUUACUUGCAAAAUAUAUAAUAUUUUGAGGGGCUUUCUACUUUUUUCCCUAAAUCAAAUAAUAAAUAGACAAAACUUAAAAAUAUUAAAUUUAAAAUUUACUGGAGAAAAUAAUUUUUUUAAACAAUUAAAAAUGUUUAAUGUAGAUGGGAGUCAAUAAUUUCUCAAAAGUAUUUAAUAACACAAUAUUAUUAUUGUACUAACCACUCUAAACUCUAACAUUAUUUAUUACAUUUUGAAUAAAUAUUACAUUCUGAAUAUCAAUGUUGAUUAGUCUGUAUUAUUGCAUUGUUACUACUAUAAGUAUGAUUUAACAAUAUGCUUAUCUCGAGACCAAUUUCAUCCAUUGAUAAAGAUUAAGUGGUAAUUAGAAAAGAAAAAUAUUUUGUUGUUGCUACUUGCAAAACACAUAAAGUUAUGAGUGACUUUCUACUUUUUCCCUGAAACUCAAAUAAUAAAUACCUAAAUAGACAAAACUUUAAGUAUUAAAUUUGAAAUUUAAUAAAGAAAAUAAAGUUUAAAAAAAGGUGUAAUGUAGAUGGGUGCCAAUAAUUUCUCAAAAGUUUUUAAAUUCUACUUAACUCAAUUCACCCAUUGGAAAAAGUUUAAGGAGUAAUUAAGAAAUAAAAAUAGUUCGAUGUUUUACAUGCAAAAUAUAUAAAGUUUUGAGGAACUUUCUACAUUUUCCCUAAAUCAAAUAAUAAAAACCUAAUUAAUCAAAACUUUACAAUAUUAAAUUUUAAAUUUAAUAAAGAAAUUAAAGCUUUUACAACAAUUAAAAAAAGGUUUAAUGUAGAUGUGUGCCAAUACUUUUUCAAAAGUUUUUAAAUUCAACUUAACUCAAUAUUACUGUAUUAAUUUUUUUUAGCUCUGAAAUUCACUUAUCAGGUUCUGAAUGAAUUUUAUAUUUUGAUGGUAGUUUCCUUUUGAUAUCCAUGUUGACUAACAUGCAUUGUUGUAUCAAUACUUUCUCAAAAGUUUUUAAUUUUAUUUACUCAAUAUUAUUGUAUUAAUCCAGUUUUAACUCUGAAAUUUAUUUAUUAUCUUGUAAAUCAAUUUUAUAUUUUGAUGGCAUUUCCUUUGAAUAUCAAUAUUGGCUAAUGUGCAUUGUUGUCUUGCUACUACUAUAGUGAGUAUGAUUGCACUAGUUUUCUUAUUGGUCUACUAAUAAUUUAAUAAUAUAUUUAUAUGGAUACCAAUUUUCUUCAUUUAAUAAAGUUUAAGUAUAAUUAGGAAGAAGAAAAUAGUUUGUUGUGAUUUAUUACAAAACACAAAGUUUUGAGAAGCUUUCUAUAAUUUUCCUAGAUCAAAUAAUAAAUACUAAAAAGACAAAACUUUAAAAUAUUAAAUUCAUAAUUUAGUAAAGAAAUGAAUGUUUUUAAAAUAAUUAAAAAAAGGUUUAAUGUUGACUUGUGUCAAUACUUAUAAAAGAGAUUUGUUUACAUCAAAAUUGAAUUAUCUCUUUGAUGUGUUGAAUUUAUAAAAAAAAAAUGAACACAUAAAAUUGAAUAUAACUAGUGUAAUUCAAUUUGAGUUAAUAGAUCUCUUCAAAUAUAUAUAUUUUACUUGUAUUUGAAUUUAAUGCAUUUGCAAACUAUUUUCUUUUGUUUAAUCUAAGCCCCUUCUCUCUUCUAUAUAUAAGGUCCUCACCAUCAUGUUCCACAAAAUACAAGAAACAAAUAGAGCAAUUAGAAACCUCCACUCCGAAGAUCCAAUUAAAAAGGAGAGCAACAUGUUCAACCCUUUGGUUAUGUGUGCUAUACUAGUGACCAUGACAACAUAUAUGGUCAUGGUCCCUGUCCAAUGUGAACAAAAUACUUUCCCUCAAACCACAACUGUGUCUGUUACAAAUGAUUUGGGUAAUGGCAUUAUUCUCUUUCUCCAUUGUAAAUCAAGGGAUGAUGAUCUUGGUGUCCAUUCUGUAGCCAAUGGACAAGCACAAACAUGGUCUUUUAGAUUAAAUAUUAUUGGUAGUACUCUAUUCUUUUGCAGGAUUAAUUGGAACAAUGUGGAAAAGAGCGUUGAAAUAUAUAAUGCUGCAUCAGAUGAUGCACAAUGCUUAUCACAGUGCCGGCGAAGUAUUAGACAGGACGGAAUCUACUAUUAUUGGCAGUUCAAAGAUUAUUGGUAUAAGAAAUAUUCAUGGUAAAAUGCCAGACUAAUUGGCUUCAUGAGCAUGUGAAAAAUAAAUAAAUUAAUAAUGAUAUGUAGUUAGUAUUCUAUAUAUGAAUAAGACUCUCUUUGUUUCUUCUCA
rnacentral:lncRNA from 1 species